rnacentral:lncRNA from 1 species
CAAAAGUUGUUGUUGAAAAUAAAACCGAGUGUUGUAAAGUUUUAAACGAGAUUACGUACACGUAUAGCGAUUUCUAAAACGAAGCUGUCUUACUCUUACCUAUCUGAAAUAUACGUAGCAAUUUAGCAAACCACAUUAAAUUGUCUCCAUUUAGCUCCAAUGCUGAAUCUACAUUUGGUUAUACAAAAAGUCUGAUUAGUUUGUGAAAAAAAAAUAGAAAAAGAAAGAUAAGAACAAGGCCACGUGUUCUGUCGUUACAACAAGAGUAAGAACAGAGACCCUCAAUUAUAGAGAUCACGUCAACAUCCUCCAACGGCGACCCACGGCUCCAAGAAAGCGGAUUUUAAGCAUUUGUUUUAAUAGUUACUAUUAUGAUCUUCGAUUUCAAAACGUGAAAUUAUUUUGACUGUUAGUAAAUUUUAUUUCAGUUUUAUUUAUAACUUUAUAAUUUUUUGUAUCUGAUUUAUUUUAAUUAUUAUUUUUUUGAACCUUUUAAAUUAUUUUUCUUAAAUAAGAAAAAUGUUUGGAUUAUCAAAUUUUAGUUUUUCUAUCCUAAUUUAUUGAAAAAGCUAUAAAUUUAUUUUGGGAUAUAAAAUAUUUUCAUCGUUCGAGUUAGAGCGGCGUUCAAUUCAGAUUUUGGCUCGUUUUUCAGUUUUUUUUUUGUUUUCUAAGAAUUAGUUACCAUAUUAAAAUCCUUUCUAAUUGUAUUUGUUUUGGUUUAUAAAUUUUUGGUUUUCGGUUUAUUCAAUUUAACACCAAGAACCAUAACUAUAUUUAUUUUUAUCUUAAACUUUAUGAAUUCUAAUUUAUAUGAUUAGGAAUCAGAUGUAUUAAAAUAUAACAAUAUCUUUGGUAUUAUAGAUAAAUAAUUUGAUUUAAGCAUUUGUAUUAACAGUUAUACCAAAAUCUUUCAAUAUAUAAUUUUAUUAAUUUUAAAUGUAAAUAGAAAUAAAUAUUAGGAUUUACUGAUGACCAUCUAAAAUUUUACAAGAAUCCCAAAAAACUAAAUUAUUUGACAUGAACUUCUUGAAAUUUUUAGAUAAACACCCACAAAAUAUUAAUAAAAUUUUGUAUUUACACUUCGAUUUUUAGAUAUUAAUAUAAGUUUUUUGUUGAAAAUAUUAGUGAAACUUUGGCGAGGGGUCUUUUUCUAGUUGGUGAUCUACGUAGAAAAAUAGACACAGAAAAUGUGAUGUAUUUCAAAAUUUAUACCAUUUUGAAAAGGGACCCUUUUAAAAAUAUAUUUCUAAACUGAGAAAUGGGGUUUCUCUUCAUUUUCUAAUUUUUUUUAAAAAAAAAAAGAAACAUGACAAAAAAUUAAAAAUAUUUUUUUUAUUAUUAAAUAAUAUAAAGCAUUAAUAAUUUUUAUUUAUAGAGAAAACUAUUUUAAGCAUUUAUAUUUUAAUUAAAAUUUUAAUGAAAUAUAUGUUAUUCAUAAUCAUCAGUCACUUAAAUAAAGUUUCAAAAAAAUAAGAAUUCACUCAUAUUUAUCUUUACAUUAUUUUUACAAUCAUCAAGGUAAACCAUAAAUAUAUAAUUUCUUUUUAUCAUUAAAGGUCUAUAAACUGUCCUAAUAAUUUUUAGAAGAUCGAUUGAUUAAACAAAAUUAGAUAAGUUUUUACUUAUGGAUAAUAUUUCUUAUUAGCAAAUUGUUGAGAAGUAGUUAAUAAAAUUUAUAAUUAUAUGAAUUAGAGGAUAGACUAAAACGAAUCUUAAAAUCUCAUUUCAACUGUCGAAAUGCGACUUAGGUGGGAAAAAUGAAUUAAUGAUUUUGAUGCUAAGACAUAGUUAUGAAAUAUCAGCGCUACCACAAUAGUAUUCAAUAUUGGCGUCAAACAAGAAUUUGAAAUUAUAAUGUCAAAAUGUGAUAUUCCUUAAUCUCAGCUCUGAAUCUAAAAUUAUGGCACCAACUCCGUGAUUUUAUCAUGACCUGUAUUUUGUACUCCCAACAGCAAAAUGAGCUGUAACACAUUGUCUCGUCAAUUUUCCUGUUAAAAUAUGAUUAUGGAAUUUGAUAUCAAAUAUGAAUUUCGGUGUUGUUUACAAAAAAAAAAACAAAAGUUUGAAUUUCAGUGCUGAAUAAAACUACAAUUUUGGUGACUGCAUACAACAUUGCUUUGGGGAUAUUUUUGAGGUUGUUUUAUACUUGCAUAAAAUUUUUGAGUUAAUAAUUGGUAAGCGGAAGGUAGAUAGAUGUGUACUGAGAGAUGAGGAGAUGUCUAUUCCCGAAGCUUUUUGAGCCACCUCCGUACUUGGAAGAAAUGGCACUAAAGUUAUUCAAGAGAGAAGAAGAGUUCAUCUCCCAAAACACUUAAAUCCCAAGUCAAACAUUGAUCAAUUAGGCUUAAUAAUUCGAGAUGUAUAUGAGGCCUUGGGUGAGAAAAUUCAUCUGUAGAUUGAUGUUUGACUAAGUAUUGGAAGCAAAGAGAAUAGAGUUGGAACUCUUCUCUUCUUCUCCCUUUUAGUUAGCUUAAGUGGGAAUAUCUGAACCAGUUGUGCUGCAUUCUCACUUGGCUGCUCUUCUCUUCUCUUAAUAUAUCUUUUUUUAUAGUUGGAGUGGCGUGGUGAAGUGAACUUCUCCCCUUACCUAUUCUUCUUUCAUUUCUGGAAUUUGGGACCUACUACCUUAGUGGUUAUAGGGCUCUAGUUGUGGUUUUACUGUAAUUUGCGGAAAUAACGGUGGCUUAUUCACCUAUGUUGAUAAACUUACAUGACCUUUUAUCUAUAUACUUGUCAUAUAAUAGACGUGGUAAAUUUGGCUGCAACAACAUCUUGUGCUAGCAAUUGAAUGUUUUUUUUUUUUUUUUGAUAACUCUGAUAUCUGGGCAGCCACAAUCCCAACUAUCCCCCCGAAAAAGGUCCAGCGCCCCAACGGAAGGGAUGUUAAAUCCGUUGUGGCCAAGACUCGAACCAGGGUGGCGGGCAGUACAGCUGUACCUCCUUUACCACCAAGCUACGAGCGCUUGGUUUGGCAAUUGAAUGUUGCAUCCUGAGAAAGAAACGAACAAUCACAUAGAGAUAUCAACAUAAUGAUUCGGCAAAUCGAUUAAAGCUGUGGGCAACUAAACUCUACAUAAGUUGAACUUUGAUACACAAAUUUCAAAUACUCUAAAAAUCCAACUUGCAAUAUCUGAUUAAAUUACCAAGGAAUAAUAUUUAAGCAAGAGAGAGAGAGAGAAAUAAUAUUGGUUACAUUUUGUUCAAAGUCAAAUAAUGAUAUGAAUUAAAAUAUUGUUACCGAUUUAUAAAGUCGUUUAUUAAAUAAAUAUAUUGUGGUCAAAUAUGAAUGCCUUUCAAACACAGAGUAAAUGAACUAAUUCAGCCUCCAAAUGGUGACAACGUAUUUGAUAAUAAAAGUAGCAUGGAGUUAAAGUGAAGGAUGGUGCAAUUGCGGUUUUUGUUGAAUUAGAGUGCGGUACGGAACAACUACGGUUUAAGUAAAAAACAGUGCAGAAUAUUGUUUGAUUGGUGACAAUACAUAUUUGUGGUAUUGAAUGAUUAUUUAAUAAAUAAAAUAAUAAUUGUAUAGAAUAUAAAUAUAUUAAAAUAAUAUAAUAAUCUAUUCAUAUAAUAAACAUAUUUUAAAAUAAAAGUGUCUUUACUGAAAUGCAUUUUUUUGUCAACUGAAAUGCAUUUGAUAAGUGCAUUUUGGAUAAAAUAAGCGAUACAAAAUAAUUUUUCGAUUGCUGGAAAAUAUUUUACGCUUUUGUUACAUAAAUAUCAAAAAUAAUGUAGAAUAUAAAAUUUGGUUAUGGUUCUUGGGUUUUAAAGAUAUAAAAUUUAUUUGGGUAAUUGGUAUGAUCCAAACAGAACAAAAAAAAAGAGAUUUGGUUUGGUUCGGUUCGAAUCUUCAGUUCUGGAUAAAUAUGCAUAUGCCUAUCUAUUCCUAUAUUUUAAUAAAAGUGGUUUGAUUAUUUUGUUUUUUUAAUCUUCUUAAUUAACUAUUUUGAAUAACUAUAUAAAUGAAAUAUUACCAUGUAUGCUUUUAACAAAAGUUUAAGUAUUUAAAUUUUAAAAUAGUUAUUAAUAGUUGAUUAUAAGAAAACACAUAUAUAUCGCAGUCAUACACACUUAUUUAUGUUAUUCAUUGUCUUAAGAUAAUUAAUAUUUUAUAAUAAAUAAAUUUUAUUCGGAAUAUUUAAUUGCAUAUUUUUCUAUUCAGUUGAAAUAUUUAGAUAUGAAAAGUCUUGAACCAAAUAUUUUAAUUAUAUAGUUAUAGAGGAAAAUGUGAAAAGAAACGCACAUUUACAUAAUACCGCAGUAUAAUUGGAGCGUAAACUACUGUAGGUGUGGUAUUGUAUAAGUGAACAAACAAAAAAAUUGGAUUUGUUAAGUGCAUUAUUUUAAGAAUUCCGUUCCGCUUUUUUACUGUUUUGUGAUUGGUGACUUUUUCAAUUUUCAUUCCACGUACACAAAUACGCACUGCUUUUCAUUCACCAAUCGCAACCUAAAUAUCUGGACCAGAUAUAGAAAAUGUAUUCCCUCCGUUCCAGAAAGUAAGAUUUUCUAGAUUUUUUUCUUGUUUCACAAAGAUAGUUUUUUUUUUUUAUUUUUAAGAUACUUUUGUAUACUUUUAAGAAACAUUAAUUACAAAUAUUUGAAUUGAUUAGAUUUAAUUGAUGGAGAGUAAUUGGAAAGUGUGUAGAAAAUUAAAUAAUAAAUUAAGCUGUAAUUAUUUUUGUCAUCAUUAAGCUGUAAAUAUUUAUUAUAUUCUUAAUAAUCGUGAAAUCUCUAAAAAAAAAUUAGUUUUGGAAACAGAAGGAGUAAUAAAUAUGGCACUGAAAAUCUCUAAAAAAAUUACUUUCGGAAACAGAUGGAAUAAUAAAUAUGGCACUGAAAAGCCAGUUAAUUAUUUUCACACUACAUAAACUGAGAUAUACUAUAAAUUAAACAAAAUAAAAUAUCAUUGAAUCCUACAACCCGUAAUUGAUGUUAGAGAUCAAUCAAGCAAUAAUGUAAAGAGAUGGCCAGAGAUUCCGUUUGAUGAAGUGUAUUAAUCAGGCCGGAAAAGAUGAUACAAGUUUUUAUUCUUGAAAAAAAAAGAACAUGUAGUCAACAAUCGAAAAUAUGGUAGUCGUUCUCUCUCUUAUCCCUCUUAUGAUAUCUCCCUUUAUAAAAAAUCAUUUCAUUUUCCCUCUUCCAAUUAUCCUUUUUUUGUCACAAAAUACUUUAAAAUAGAGCCUAGAGGCCCAGUCCCUAGGAAUAUGAAAAAAAAAGCGAUUGAAACAAAUACAAAAGACAAAUCAUGGAUGUCUUUGAUGAUUCCCAACAAUUCAUUCCUCUGUGUCUUGUUGUUGAUUACUCCAAUGAGCGUUAAGUUGUCAGAGCAGACCCAGAGAUUCGAGAUCCCUUGAUUUGCAUCCAUGUAAAAGUCCUUCCUUGAUCGCCAGAGCUUCAGCGACCAACGGUGAAUCGAUAUAGUUGUUCCCUCAAUAAAGAACUCGAUGCUUUGAUUAUGAUCCAAGCUAGGCCUGACUUGUAUCGAGUCGCGUCCCACGAAGCAUCCGUCUUGCAGGUGGCGAUUUCAGAUUGGGCAGAAUUGAUUCCCUGAUUCAAUUGAUUUGUGUUCCGGUAUGAGUCUUUUGGCCUUUAGAGACCGGCGAUUGUGUCUCAUUCCAUUCCCUUGCUAACGCUAAUCCUUUGUUGUUGUAUCUUCAUGUUGUUCACUUUUCCCUUCAAAUAUGAGUGUGUUUCGGUCCUUCUAAAUAGACCAGAAUACCCAUGGGAGAAUGGUGUUUGAUACUUCAGUGGGGGGGGGGGGGGGAGGCAGGUUGCUGAGCAAAAGUGUACCACCGUCGAUGCAAACGGACAGAGAAUAAGAUAUGAAUAAGAGAUUCAAUUUCCUUACAUCUUGGGCAUCUAAUAUCUGAGCUGAUUCCUCCUUUUUGAAGGUUCUCGCCUAGGGACAAGGCGACUUGGAUGAUCGACCAGAGAAUGACUUUCAUCUUAGGUGAGCAGGAGAUUGACCAUACGUCCUUAAUCCAGUUAAAAUCCCCAAUCGAGCUACUGAUGUUCUGUUCUUGAUUAAGGUUUGCCACUGAAUUAUACCCUGAUCUUGUAGAGUAGAUACCAGAGGGGAGAGGUUGCCAUAUGUACUGUUGUCUGCUCCUCUUUGACUUGGUUUGGGGCAUUGGAUUCACUCUGCAAACUCAGGUAGAAAUCUCUCAAUUCUUUGCUUGUUCCUUCUUUUUUAUUGGCCUUUCUUUUUUGCUAGGCCGGGUCAAUUCGGGGUCCAUAUGUUUAUACGGUCCACUUCCAACACACUUUUAAACUUGUAUAGUUCUAGUCAAAUGAGUACGUUUACCAAAAAUAAAUAAACCACACAAUCUUUCAUCAACUAAGGAUGCGUAAAAAUUCCAUAGUAUUUGUAGAAUACCUUGAUGCCCCUAAAGAAAUUUAGGAAAGAUAGGGAAAAAAUAAGGGUGAGGUCUCAUUAGCAUGUUCUUGAUUAAGACUUUUCCAUGUAUCCAGUGCCAUGAUCUUGAUCAUUUCUUCGGCUUUAACUACAAUUUCUUCAGCGGGAGCUGCUAUCAGUAUUGGAAACGUCUUCAGUUUUGGGCUUUGCUCUAACCGAAGCUAUUGCAUUGUUUGCUCCAAUGAUGGCCUUUUUGAUCUUAUUCCUAUUCUGAUAGAAGAAAGAAGGUUUCAUUCAGUCUCAUGGCUCACGCGCAACCCCUCCCUGCUUCUGUAACACCCGUCUCCUCCUACAUGGAGAACGGCGUGUUACUACCGGUGAAAUAUCGAAUUAAACCGAAUUAUUCCAAAUCGAACAAAAUAACAUAAUAUUUAAUAGAAUAAUUUUAAAGGAAAUAAAUUUUUAAAUUUAAGUAUAAAAAUAUAUCAAAUAAAUCGAAUGUAAAAUUCGUAUAAAUCAUUAGUUAAAACCGAAAUAAAUACAAUUAUCCCAAGACACCAAACCGUCCAGAUAUCCAACAACUCGGCAAGCUCACCUGCAAGGGGGAAGAAGAGGGGUGAGCAACAGGGGAGUUACUCCGUGAGGUAUGGGGAUGCUAAACACGCAAACCACUGACUUGAGUAAAUAGAACUCCCACUAUGGAAGUUUAGCUCUAACAUGAACACAUACGACGCCUAGCGCGUCACACAAACCAAACAAUGCGAUGAUAGCAUAAAGCUAGUCCAUACACCCCGCAUCUCCUCAUAUGGAUAUAUAAUACGUAGCGUCGCUAGUACAGUAUGUCUCUGUACCCCCGCCCUCUCAAGUAGCGUCCAUGAUACAAACGUCUCUGCACCACACGCCCGCACAAGUAGCAUCGCAAGUCCAGACGUCUCUGAACCCCUGCCCGCACAAUCAAAGUAGCGUCGCUAGCCCAGACAUCUCUGAGCCCCCGCCCGCGCACAUAGUCCGUACUAAUAACUAUGUAUACAUACAUAUAUAUAUCGCAUCUCUUAACAUCACACAAUCCAAUAAAAAGUUGAAUCCUCUAGACCCCUAGUUCCAAUUUACAAUGAAUGAACUAACUAACAAUCAAGACUCAAUUCAAACAGACGGAUCAUGAUUCGAAAUCUAAAAUACGAUAGAGAAAAUUCUACACUGGUACGGGAUUUACGGAAUAGACCCUCACCUUAGCCAUAAAGAAAAAACCAGAAACGGAUCCGACAAUACAUGAAAUGACUUGAUCAUCCAGAAAGCUAGAAUUUUGCCAUGGAUUUCGAAUACUCGUUGAAGACAAACCAUAUCAAAAAGGAACAUAGAAAAAUAUUAAAAUAAGAAUAAAUAAUGGAUUUAUAAGGAUGGUUACUUGCUACACAAGUAAUAAAGAAACGAGCACUUGAACCUCACGGUUUUGACUCGCGGUUAUGGAUCUCGAACUCGGCGAAGGGUGCUGCAUCUCCGAUGGAUCACAGCUCACGGUUGAUGAUGAUGGUGCGGAUCAACGGCGGUCGAGGUGCGGUGACUCCGGCUUGAACGCCUUCUCUCCCUCUCCGCUCAAGCUCUUCAUCUCACGGAUCCGAUAGGUAAGAUUAACGCAAUGAACGUGACGGCACAUAACAAGUCUGUAAUGGCAGGGGCUGCUUCUCCAGUAUGAUACACGGCCAUUGAUCUGUGGUGGUUGGUGCUAAGGGCGUGUGACGAAGAUGACAGCUUCUCUACCCCAAAGCAUGGAGAUUGCACGAACAAGAAGCUAAUCAAGGAGAAGACAAAAUAGAGAAGGGAGGAGAUGAUCGUGAAGUAGAGAAGAAAUAAAAAUGGUGGAUGCGGCUCCCGAGAAGGAGGAAGGGUAAGUGAAAUAUAUAUAGCUAGGUAUAAGGAAUAACAUGAUAAAUUAGAAAUAUGAAUAAUUUAGUUUGGGGCAUGGUUUGGUCCAAUCAAAUUAAUUAAAAAGAAACCAAACCAACCGGUUGAGAAAACCGGGUCGUUACAGCUUCUCCCUUCCCCCUCCCCUUACCGUCCAAAACUCAGAUGCCUUAUGGAGUAUAGCCAAGUGGUAACGCACCGGUUUUUGGUACCGGCAUGCAAAUGUUCAAAUCCUUUUACACCAGAUUAUGAACACCCGAUCGUAUCUGUCAAGAACGAGCUGACGACUACAAGGGAAGCUCUCAUUAAUUAGCUGAUAAGGGGAAGCGGCUGAAAGCAGUCCCUGAGCUAAGCCUUGGAAAUCUAAUGCCUUUCAAAUCCUCCUAACCAUUAUCCUACUGCAACAAUUCUUGCUAAAAAGAACGCCCACCCCUAUCUGUUUGAUAACAGUUUCUUCCUAGUUUUCUUGAAACAGAUAAUCUUGCUCAACUGAAACAAAAAAAGAGCGACUUAUUGCAUUGCUCUCACAAACUAUUAAUUUUAUAAGAGAAGAAAGAUUGUUUUAAAAAGAAAGAACGUUUGGAUUCGAGGCGGAUCCCUUUUUUCGUUUCCUUUACGAGUAAGAAAGUGGUUACGCUCGGGGAGUCGGGGACUUUAAAUUUCUUUUACUUUGGUUCGAGUCCACAAACCACUAAGACUUCAGGCUAAAUCCUGAAGUAAGUUAGAAAGCGUUGUUUGAUGAGCCUGCCUAGUAUUAGUUAGUUGGUUAGGUAAAGGCUAACCAAACCAAUGAUGCUUACCUUUCCUAAAUGAAUAGAUUAUCGCGGAGGCUUUACAUGGAGAAAGAGAUGAUAUCCCUUGGAAAAUAUUAAAUUUUGAUUUCUAAACUUAUGAAUUCUUUUGAUCUCAUUUUGUUGAUAUUAAGAAGUGAUUAUAGGCACUUAAUUAUCUAUUCCGCUUUCUACAGUAUUUUGUGCUACUUUACUUUGGAGUUAAUGAAUGUUCUCAUAUCUAAGUAUAACAUAUCUACAGAGAGUGGAAGGGAUUCCUACAUGCAGACUGAAAAGAAAAGGAAAAGGGACAGGUGUGCACCAAAGCUCUGCGCUCCUGAUGAAAAGAAAUGUUAGGAAUUCUUUUAAAAAAUGGAAUAGAAUACUCUGAUAAGUCCGAUUCCAGUUAGAUGGUCAGACGAGUCCCAGUUGAAAAAGUUUCAUCCUAGCUAGACUCCAACAUCUAGAUCUAAAUUCUAAAACUACUAGCUAUGUUCACAGGCGAAUAUCCUUAGGGAACUCCUUAUUCAAUCAAUUCAACAAGGGGCUCGGGGGGAGAAAAGGAGAGCCAAUGGCGAAACCAAAGAGAGAGGCGGCCUGGUGGUGACACCACAAUAUGAUAGGUGAAUUUAAGUAAGGUCUCCUCGGAUAAUCUAUAUAAUCUAUCAAUAGAAGUCUCUUCACCAAAUGAUAAUACCCAUGCUUGAAGGGUUGCCUCAGAUCAGCAGGAGCCAGACACUGCAUGGCUCAUCCAUCAGGUAAAGAAAGGCCAACAAUAAAAUACAUGUUAUUUGUGGAUGUUUGUUGCGGGAAGAGUUUCAUCAAGAGAACAAGGAAAUAAAGUAUCUGCAGAUAUAGGAGUUUGCGGGUGUAGAAAGAAUAAGGGAAUCAAUGUUGUCUGUCGGAACAACUGGUUGGGCUACUGCUUCUUUGAGGAGUUGGUUUCUUGAUUCUUUAUCUUCGAUCUAGAAAUAGUUUCAGUGCAAACUAUUCUCAUACUAUCAAACCGGAAUAACUCGAUUGUGAGGAGAGGUUUAAAUAACUCGUGGAACCUUAUACUCUCCUUUAUCAGUAUCAUUUCGUUGGACCUGUUCUUUCUAAGAGAUAGGGGAUACAUUUUCUAUUCAUGCCGCUUUCUUUUGUUGUAUCGCUAAAUAAGCAGGCUUCCGUCAAGCGGGGUCAGUCAAAGGGAAAGAAGAAGAGUGAGCGAGAAAGCACUGAGCUUACUCUUUAAGAAUUGAUUACUGUUGAUGGCGGGGAAUGGAAACCUUUCCUUUUCUAGUUGUGAAACUAACUCCAUUAUUUUAUUAAGUGACAAUAAUUAUAAUACAUUUUUAUUAUUUUGAUUUAAGUUAUUAUUUUAUUCACAAAAACAUGUCUUUGAAUUAUGUUUUUGGCUACGUAAUUUUUCAAAACCAAGUUAUUUUACAUUUUUGAUUUUAUAAUUAGAACAAAGUUAAUAAUGUUGAUUAACUAAUAAAUAAAAAUCUGCACUAUUAUUAUUAUAGUAAUAUAUGUUAUAAGUGAAGAAGAGAAGAAUAUAAUUGGUGUACAUUAUUCCAUUAAUAAUGAGUCUUUAUAUAGGAUUACAAUAGCUUGGAGGCAAAGUAUAACUUGGAGAACAAGUAGACUUGACAAUCAAUUAAAUCUAAGACUUUCCAUAUGGACAUCACAUAAUAUUCAUAACACUUCCCCUUGAUGUCCAUUAUACCGAAGUGCUUUCAAAACACUGUAGGUGUUGCCUCGUUAAAAACCUUACCAGGAAAACCCAAUGGAAAAAACCGUGGUUAAAGGAAAAAGAGUGCAAUGCAUAAUAACUUCCCCUCUUGUGUACAUACGUCAAGAUCUUCGAAGUGGCAUAAUCCGAUAAGAUGAAAUAACUUCUUGGAAGUAGUAUGGUGUAACGUCUUGUUGAAUAAAUCAGCUAACUUGUCACUUGAAAGAACAUGUAGGAAACGAAUAUCACCAUUCUUCUGCAGUACAUGAGUCUUGCUAUGAUUUUGACAAUUUUCAUCGAUUCUUUUGAUCUCAAAAGCUUUAGAACGUUGAUAGAUUUUUAUCAAUGGAAUUCUAAUAUUUCCCUUGGAUAUCUAUCAUAUGUGUGCUAUUUGUUGUCUCGUUAAAACUUUGUCAUGGAAAAACCCAGUGGGAUAAAACCAUGAUGAAAAAAAGAGUAUAACCACACAUAUUUCACAUUUCUUCCCCGGAAAGCAAUAUCUUCAGGAUAUGCAUUCCAAUCCGAUAAAUCUCCUUUUGAAAUUGAGAAUAUCAUAAUACUCUUUCCAUUAGAUUAUUCAAGAUCUAUAGACUUCCGGUCCACAAUUCUUAUUUGAUAUAAACAAUAUUUUCUUGGUCUAUUUGGAUUUAAAUCCAAAUUUCUUACAUACAUUCGUCUUGCACAUACGAGUAACUCAUUCGUAACUAUGAAAGUUACUAUUAUGACUUUCUUUCUUGUCAUAUGAAAUUACAUCUUUUAGUUAUGAAAAAGAUUAGUAAUUUGCUCAAUAACAUUUUAAAUAUGGUACUUCAAGACCAAACAUAUAUGAGCAUCUUAAAUAAAAUACUUCAAGGAUCUUUACGAUAACAUCUCAUUUUAGAUCGCCAGUUUGGAAUACAUAAAAACAAUAUGAUAUUGUCAAGGCCUUCUUCCAAAAUACAAUUUUUCUAUAACUCUUCAGGAGUUUUUGAUUAUAUUCAAAUAAUGACUCUAUUGAUCUAUAAUCUCUUGAUAAAUAUAAAUAUGUAUUGAUUAACUUCAAAUAUUUCAUAUAUCCCAUAAAACAUAUUUUAAUCAAAUAGUUAGAGUUCCCGGGAACAUGAUUUUGAUAUCACCAAUCCUUCAAAGAUUCUAUCUUUUAGGGAUUCAAUCUCUUAGCGAUUAUCAGUUUCCAGUGGGUUGUAUAAUUCAAGUUUUUCCUUUAUUGCCAAACUAAUAAGGAACAUGAAAGUAGUUGCAUCUACCACAUGAGAAUAUGUCUCUCCACAAUUCAUUCCAUAUUGAUCUUUCUUUGGUGUAACGAGACAUUUCUAUCCCACUUGUUACACCUUCUGGUGUAUGGAUUACUGGUCCAAAUACCUCUCUCUUUCACAAGAGUUUUUAUCUUUGUCUAUUGCUUCUUUCUGAUUUGGCCAAUCAUCUCUUUGUGUACAUUUUUCAAUAUACUUUCUUUUAUGAUCCUCUUUCUCAUUAAUCAUAUCAACUGCCACUUUGCAUGCAAAAAUAUCUUUGACGUCGAUUUGCUUAUUGGCUUCAUUUUAUUUCGUACAUGACAUAGCUUAUUGAGAUCUCUUCAUUGUCUCAGGUACCUGAAUUUCUUUCAGUCAUGUUUAAUGUCUCUUCUGUAGACCAUUCAAAAACUCUAUUACCUCGUUUUGACCAUUAUCAAUAUAUGCUCCUUUUCAUAUACGAGGAUUCUUAUUUUAGGAACCAACAUGUCUACCACGCUGCAGGCGUGACUAACAGUUUGAUAUUGUUCUUCUAGAACAUAUAUACUUAUUGGAGCAUUUACAGCUGGUAUAUGUGACUUGAUCACUAUAUUUAUUUGGGUCAACAAAUGUGUCUGGCAACUUCUUUACUAAGCAUUAUAAUGGAAUUAUCUGUUGGACUUCUAUUAGAUAUUUUCUUUAGUCUGAGGAUCAAUGAUAACUCAUAUCAAAUUAUUUUCUUUUCCAGCUUUUUAUUUUUUCCCUCUUAUGUUAUAACUACUAAUUCACUUUUAGCAUUCAUAUAGAGCCUUACUUAUAUCCUUCAGGGAUGGCUUUAGAUACUUAAGUAUCAACAGAGAUUCAUAUCCAACAUAAAUAUCCAACCUUAUUAACACAUCUUAACUAAGCUCUAUGGUGGGGCAACUGGAAUGUAUAUUGCAGAUCCAAAAAUCUUAGAUGGAAAAUGGUUGGUUUCUGACCCAAUAACAAUGAUGGGGAGAAUCAGUGAUUACUUGUUGGCUUGAUGCGAAUCAGUGUUGCUCAAAAUGUUUAACACUUAUCCCAGUGAUUUUUCUAUAGUCGUCAAAGACUUUAAGAAGUAGAUUCACCAGUAUUAUAAAGAUGCAUAGUGGGUGAUCAGUCCACUAACAUCUUCUUUAUUCAUGCCAAUAACUACAUUUGGCUGGUGAAAACCGUCUUACCAUUUUAUCUUAGGAAAAACAACAUAUGUGAAAUCAUUCAGAAGAAUCUUCUGGUUCUUCAAUGAAUAUUCACAUAAAUAUUUAUGUAUCUUAUCGCAUCAUUACUGAACCAAAAUGGUCUAACUGAUUCAUGCCAUAUAUUUUGUAAACUUCUGGUUUACUAUAUAUUUAUCUCCAUUACACUAAUCUUUGUGUAGUACAAUAUAUAGGAGGCUAUAGAUACUUUUUAUAAAAUACUUAUAUUGCCUUGAUAAAUAUUUAUGAUUUGAAAUGUAUAUAGCAUUUCUUUUGCUUAUUGUCUCAACAUAAGUGUCUCAAAAUCCCAGAGAUUUACUUUGAGAAUGAUUCAUCAAACUUAGUUUUAGUGCAAACAUAAUCUUCUGGAUGUUUCACUUAUCAUAAAAUGUGAGCUUCUUUAACUCUUCCCCUCGAGAUGAUAAUACUACAGGUUUAUCAAUCUCGAAUGAAUCUCAUUUUUGAGUCAACAACAUACCCUACAUGGGUUAUGUAUUAUUUCUUAGAUACUUCUAACUUUUGAGACGUAUAGGAAUACAAUACCUUAAGAAUUAAAAUUGCAUUCUUAGGAACCUUAAAUUGCAUUCUUAUAUGCAGUAAUACUAUAUACUCUUCUAGAGCAUUCAUAUAUCCUCUUCUUGAACACUCUAUAAGCUUUAUAUUAGCUUGUAUUGUAUUCACAAUAACUUUCUUUCAUCUUUAGAUGAAUGAAUCAUAUCUUUUCUUUAUUACUAUCUUUAUUUUCUCAACUUCAAGUGAGAGUAUGAAUUCUAAAAAAAAAAAAACUCUUUAGAUCUUGACCUUAUUUAUAUAUACACAUUCACGUCUACAACUACUUUUAUGUUCAUUUUCUUGAACAAUACUAUUUGUGUGGAUUUUCUUUCCCAAUAUAAAUGUCAUAUUCUCUUUAAAAGAAGAGAUCAUAAUCAACUAGAUGUGAUUUAUUAUCUUAAAUCAAUAGCUCAUUGUUUCUCUGAGUCUCAAAGAAACAAGAUACAAGUAAAACUUUUUUCUUUUCAUCUAUUUUUCCAAUCAUGUGUCUGUUGGACAACAUUACUAGUGUGAAAAAUAUAUAUUUUCCCAUAUAUAUGCAUCAUAAAACAAAAUUCGAGAAUUUUACUUUUAAACUUAACAUCCAACAUAGUUGAGAUAUACUACAGACUUCAGGUAUUGUAAUCUUUAGAUGCAAAAUACAUAAUGAGCUAUAGGUAAUCACUUCAGGUGAUUGUACAUUUCUUUAGAUUAUUCUCCAAGACUUAUGGGAUCUUAAGGUCAAGCCUUAAAUUUAAAACUCUCACAUAUACAAUCACAAUGAAAUAUAAUAAUAAAACUAUUUAAAAUUAUAUAAAAUAUGUAUUAACAUAGAUCUUAUUAUAUAAAGAAAUAGAUAAUAUUUCUAUAGUAAUCAUCAUCAUAUGUGCUACUUCUUUACUUUCAUGCUAUUGAACAAGGAAUCAAUAAACUUACUAAACAAAUCUUAUAUCACAUUUAUCAAUUUUUCAUGUAAAUUAUUACCCUUGUAUAUAAAGCAUGAAAAUAAAAUACUUAUCUUGGUAAAAAGUGCAACGGAGAUGCGAAUUUGAAUUGCUCAUGUAUCUUGGCAGGAUAUAAUUUCACAUGAUCUCUUCUCUUUUAAAGAGGAUAAAUAAUUCUGAAAUACUCAAAAUUUGCUCAUAUAAAUAUGGCUAACAUGUUAGUAAACAUCAAUAUAUAACAUAGAUCAUAUUAAAUCUAUAAUAUAAUGAGGCAGUUGCCUCAUUCCUUAGCCGCCACGUCAGUAUUUUGGUCGGUCCCACUUUAAAAAAUGUGAAAAAGUGUCAAGCCUGUGGCUCAAACUUGGGUUAUUGAGAACACCAACAUUUAUACCACUAAACUAAAUGAUACUUUGUACAUUGAUGGCCGAAACUAAUAUAUAUUUAUGAAGGUCGGAAACCUUUGCUUCUUCGGUUUUCUCUGUGGGCCGGACCUAUAAGUGUAUUAUGAGUUUCAUUUUUAAAUGAGGUUCAUCACGUUAUAUGAAAAAAAUAACAAUUAUAGUUUUUCUAUAUUGUAAAUUGUCUACGUUUAACAUGAGUUCUUUUCAUCAUUGUCUUAGACAAGUCUGAGUUACAGAGUUGCGCUGUGUAUCUGUUCAUAAUCUAUUUUUUCACCGAUGAACUCUUCAUCUCCCCAUCUUAAAUCGCUUGAUCUUAAAUGUUCCUGAUUUGUAGCCUUUAUGUAAACCCUAUAUAUAUGAUUCUCAUCUUUGAUGAACUCAAUCUGCAUCUCCACAAAACUCAUUGAUUCCUCUUAGCUUUAACGAUCUUCUAGAAAAUGUCUCUUUGCCUCUCCAGUUCCUCAAACCGGCGUUCCCGGCAUCCGGCACUCAACCUUCGAGUCUCUCCGUGUUGGUCGUAGUAGUCAGAGCAUAUCCUCUAACCUCCUCACUUAUGGAAUUCCCUGAACUUCAAGAAAGACAGUGAAUUUAUAGGAAUCAUGGUUCUCUUCCUUGAUGAAAAGGUAAGUUAAUUUUCGAUUUAUCACACUUACUUAAUAUAAUUGAUUUCUUGAUUCUUUGUUAAAUAAUAUUAUUUGCAGAUUCCGUGAUUCAUGGAUUUAUUCCCGUCGAACGUGCUAAUCAUUACAUGUCAUCUUUGAAAGCCGGUUCCAUUGUGAAAGUUGAUCGUUUGAGGUUGCUAGGUGCUCAAACAUGUACAAGAUAAUUGAUCAACCAUUCCUCAUUCGUUUCAUCUCACCAACUAUUAUGAUGAAGUCAUCACGGGUGCUCCUGAGAUCAAUCUACAAGCAUAAUUAGAUUGUUUGACAAUUUCCAAGUGACUGCGAACACAAACCUAGAAUACCACAUAUAUUAUCAUAUUGCAUCUUGGUUUAUAAUAUGUUUUGUUAUCAUAACUGAUAUUUAAACUCGUAGAUGUGGUUGGGCAAAUCCGUUCUGUCCAAGGCUCUGACCUUAGCAAAGAAACAACUCGAGUCGUUAUUCGUCUCUUCAUUGAUCCGUAAGAAACAAUCAACACACAAUUCCCUUUAUAUUAUUAUCUAUAUUGUGCUAACAUUAAUAAUCAAAAAUAUUUCCUACCCAAAUUAUGUGGUCGUCUAUUUAUCUCACAUACUUAUCAAAUUAAUUUUACACAAACCUUUAUUUAACAGCUUAAAAGAAACCACAACAACCCAAACAAUCAAAACACCAAAAACUAGUAUUCCAAAAAAGACAAAUUAUUAAUGAUCACCUCUCUUUUUUUGUCUAAUCUUAGAAAUAAACUUCAAGACAAAUAUACCAAACCAAUCACCAACUAAAACUCAACGACACAUACAUCGAGUCAGCUAAACAAAUACAAAAUACACGGCCAGAUAUUUAACGAUUUACAAACUUACUUUCGCAACGACUCAUACAUCAAGUCAGCUAAACAAAUACAAACUACACAGCUAACUAUUUAAAAAUUUACAAACUUACUUUCGCAACGAAGAAGAUGAAGACGACAACCAAGAUCAGUGAAAUUACCUAAACAAAAAAAUCAGAGUAAGUUAUGAACUCUGAUAAAUACAACUUACAAUGAUUUUUGUUUACAUAUUACCCAUCAAAUAAAAGAUAAACAAAGACAACCACAACAGGAGAUACAAGAGACAAUCCCGACAGACACAAAAGGUGGCAACAACAGCUCCACCUGCUCAUUCAUCUUGUCUUAUAAAAAUAGCUUACAUGCCCAAUAUCAAUAGGCCAAUGCUAUUGUCUUCUUAUGAGAAAUACAUACAUUCGUUUAAAACUCAUUAAAGCCCAAAUACUCAGAACCGUCACUCAUUUUAUAGUUAUUUCUACAAGUCUUCAUGUAUUUGUUUUAAAGGUCCGGUAAGACCAACAAAUUUAAAAAUAAAUAAAAACAUAUAGCAAACAUAAUAAGGAUAAUAAAAAUUAUUACUUAAUACACACAACUUACACAACUAAACUGGAGAAAAAAAUAUCCAGAAACAAAAUGUACUCUCAACAACUUUAAUAUAAUUUAUGUACUCUCAACAGUACAAGAAACAAAUUAAAAAGACAAACAAACAAUAAGUCUCAGUGACACAGCAAACAACAACACGAACUAUAUCAAUCACAUUACUAACAUAGUUUAGUCCUUCAUAAGUGGAGAACAAUGCAUACACAGUUCAUCAUCACAACUCUAACCCUAUAACAAUAAAAAAAACUUGAAAAAUAAUUAUUAAUGCAAAAUUCACAACUACAAGAACCCUAACAAAUAUUGAUAUGAAACAAGAAUUCUGUCCACAACUUAAGCGCGGGCAAUGUCCCUAGUAGUAAUAAUUCAUCCGGAAAAAAAUCUACUUAAAUCAAGCGUAUAUAUAAUUACUAUAAAAAUCAUUAGAGCAUUAAGCAGAAUGUGCAAACCAACGGUUUCUAAACCCGAUGCAAACCAAAACUAUUACCAUAUCAUGUAAUGUUCCAAGUAAAAUAGAAAUAAUAUAUUGCAUGCACUCAACCGUAACACUUGAUUACUAAUCACUUAUAUAUUAAAAGAGAAACAUUGUAAUAAAUGCGUUCACACUAAACUGGACAUGUGUCACGUGUAUAACAUUGUAAUAAAUACGUUCACACUAAAAUGAACACAUGUCACAUGUAGAGAGUUUCUCAGCCAAACUCUACAUAAAUAUGUUCACGCUAUGUAUUUUACGUUUUUUUAAUAUAAAACUCACAUAUAUGGUUCUUCUUUACGUUAUUUUUACUGUCUACGAAUAGGUGGACAAAUUAUUCAUAAAUUUUGAUUCAAUUUGUUAUCCAUUUUGAUUCGAACCAAAAAAUCCGGAGAUCUGUUACUCUACGAAGCAAAUCAAAUACUAAAAUGCAAUAUCCUUAAAAAAACAAAUCACAAAUAUUAAUAUUUAUAGGAACGGAUAUCCAAUUUGAUCCGUUAUAUGCAUAUAUAUAUACAUAUACUUAAAGAAUUAUAUAUAAGUUAUAUAUUAUAGUUUAUAUAAAUUUUACAAUAUUUUUGUUUUUAAAUAAUUUCAUUUUAAGAAUUUUAUUUUUCAUGUAUUAUUUCGGAAAAAAAUGUCAUUUAAUAUAAUUAACAAUAUCUUUAUAUAUUUAUCAACCAUCUUUAUAUACUUUUACAUACACAUACAUGUGCACAUUGACGUGAGCACUUUAUAACUAAGUAUUUACCACAACUGAAAUAUCUAAUUUGUGUGGAAAUUAAAAUAUUCUUUUUUAAUGCUUUUUUCACUAUCAACCAAAUUGUAGUAAAAUGAUUUGUCUUUAUAAUUUUUUUUAACUAUUAUUCGUUUAGAAACUAUAAUAUAAAACCAUUGAUUCGACAUCACUACUAUCUUAGAUUCAUAACAUGAAAACAAACAAAUAAUAGUAAUUUUUGAUUAUCACAUGAAAAUAAAAACCAAAAACAUCAAACAUUUUAACCGAACAAACCAAAUAAAUAUUAAUUUAAAAUGAUAGUUAUAUUUUAGGAGAUUAAAAACAAAAAAAUAACCUAAAACCGAACCGAUAUCCAGAUUAAACAGAUUAAUGACUCCUUAUUAAAAAAAUAACAAAACUAAUAAUCACAUUCCGCGCAAGGCGCGGGUUAUUACCUAGUAUUAUAUGUAUUCGUAUAUAUUACAUGCACUCAGCCCAAAAUUUUAAACCAACAUGCAAUAUCUUAUCAAGUCUAGUAAAUAAUUAUUAACCUAUAAAUCCAAUUCGAUGAUAUAGUUUUAAGCAUUGAACAAUGCGCAGCCAUAAGGAAUAAAAGUGGAUGCAAUCACAAACGCAAUAACAAUAUAAGAUGUAGCUGCAACACUAAAUCUAUGAAUUUGUUAAUUUAUACGUUCAACUGUAUCGAUGCUAUAUGCAACCGUAAUAAUAAUAUGCAGCCGUAAUGAGACGUUUUCAAACUUUGGAGCUAUAGUCAUCUGUCUAUUACUGAACAAUAAUGGUAUGCUAUAAUCAACAAUAUGCAUAAACAAACUAUAUGAACUUGUUAAGCAAUAAUCAUGGUUAUACGAAUAUGAAUAUCAAAACUAGCGAGAUUGAGUAUAGCUUAUAAAGUCGAUAAGAUCUCACUUUGAUCGAAGGAUUUUUCUUUCCUUGAAACAAGGGAAAUCAAUAUUGUCGACUAAAACUUUUAAACUCAAUCUAACAUGUGAUGAACUAUGAAUCUCAAUCUUACAAACCAUGAAUUGAUAAUAAGUAUGAUCGGUAGAAGGAUUGAACAUAGACUAAAAGUAUAAAAUAAAAUCUAUACCUAUUAGUUCAAGAUCACUAGAGAUUCCUAUUGAUAACGUGUUAUAAGUGAAGAAGAGAAGAGAAUAAUUUAUGUAUAUUAUUCUAUUAAUAAUGAGUCUUUUAUAUAGGAUUACAAUAACUUAGCGACAAAGUAUAACUUGGAGAACAAGUAGACUUGACAAUCUAGUAAAUCUAAGACUUUCCAUAUGGACAUCACAUAAUAUUCAUAACAAUAUAAUUAAUAAUUUGAUGUAUUGUUAAGGCAAUAUAAUUAAUUAAAUUGUUAAACUGAGUGAAAUAUAGAAAGAUAAUUAAUGUAAUUAUAUUAAUAAAAUUACUAAAAGUACAUUAUCCAUGUUUCCAAACAAUUCUCAUUUAUAUUGUUAUCCAUGUUUCCAAACAAUUAUCGUUUAUAUUAUAAUUCAUGUUUCCAAACAGUACGAAAAUGUACUUCAGUUUUAAUAAUAUUAGAUGUUAAACUGAGUGAAAUAUAGAAAGACAAUUAAUGUAAUUAUAUUAAUAAAAUUACUAAAAGUACACUAUCUAUGUUUCCAAACAAUUCUCAUUUAUAUUGCUAUCCAUGUUUUCAAACAAUUAUCGUUUAUAUUGUAAUUCAUGUUUCCAAACACUACGAAAAUGUACUUCAGUUUUAAUAAUAUUAGAUUAGAUAUAAUGCACCAACACUACUUCAGAAACGUGUCUAGAUUUACAAUCAUUCGCGUACCAAGGUUGCGUAAUCAAUCUAUUGGUAAGCAUGUUUUUUUGUGUGGACGACAAUAUUCUGGUUAAGACAUGAGCAUUCGAGUAGAGUGAGUUGUCUUUCAAGUGGAUAGUUUGGUGCUUGCUUAUAUAAUGUGUGGUUUCUUGGUGUGUAAGGCUCUAAUCUGAGUGCCAUGUGCCUUUUAAACACACUGUGCUUUUCAUUUAAAUGAACUGAAGAGUUUUUUUUUAAAUGACAUGGGUAAUAGGCGGUCCUUGUUAGUGCAAGAUGACACAACAAUAAGGCAAUGCAGAAAGUAAAGCAAGAGACAAACAACUACAAGCAACCCUUAAGCUUUAUUAGAAAUCGCCUUGUACACUCUAUUACAAGUUCUGCUUAAUCAGCUUUACACAGUCUGUUACACCCUAACAACUGCUACUGAAAGAUUCCUAAGCUACCCGCUUGUGUCUCUCUUCCGUCGAGUACUUCAGCCACUGCUUCAGCACGACCCCAGAACACCUCCAAGAGCUUCUCUCUCUCUAUAAGAUCAGCCUCCAUGUCUCUGUCUCUAUACAGACGACCCCAUAGCUAUCUUAUAGUUAUUCUCCAUGUUCCUGAAACCCUAGUCUCUAAGGCAACAUGUAUGGACAUCUUCCAUAACAAUAAGUGCAACUUUCCUUUUCUUGGAAUGCACUUAUUCCUCUUUCUUUAAGUCAUAAACUUGCUCCUCAAGUUUAUUCCUCUUUCCAUAUCUCCAAGAUACUCCCUUGCUCUCCAAGUCUACACGACUUCAGCUCAGUAUCUUGACUCCACAUGGUCUUCACCACUCACUACGACGUCUGCUUCAGCAACUACGUCAGCGACUACUUCAGGACAGACAUCUUACAUCUUCAAUCUCCCCUUUUUAGCUUCGUGUGCCGAUCAAGCACAACAAUCUUCUGGUUCAGCCACCAUGUUCCUCACCUGGAAACUUCCACACCAAAUGUGCUUUUCUCCCCCACGAGAUGUGCACCACACCAUGCUUUUCUCCCCUAUGAGAUAUGCAUACUAAGUACCAGAACAUCACCAUUCUCCCCCUGCUUGAUUGCAUACUAAGCUAAAACAGAUGCUUAGAUGUCAAGCCUUACAGACCCACCGUCUGUUUCUUCAUGUAUAAUCAUGACACAGCCCCUGCUGCAGCGGAAUAACAAGUACUGCAUCACGAUCUGACGCACCUGUCGAACUACCCUUCGACCAGCUUCUGUUGAGGACCAGGCUUCCUUCAUGUGUCAUCUCCUUGACCAUGAGCCCUUCCCCAUCCGCACCGAGUGCCCUCUGCACUCGUUGAUAUUGUCUUGGAGUGAUUUCACGCCCCUGAAGAUCAUCUCGCACCACUUCCUGACGCACUUCGAUCUCCUUCCCUAUUGUGUCACAGACAACUCUGUGUCCUGACUCCACGCUUGAUGCUUCUUGAUCUUCCUGAAGAUCACUCCAAACAGAGCUGCAUCCAUCUUCUGAUAUCUCUUCCUUGACCUCAUCAAGCAAGCCACUCUUGGCUAAGAGCACCUCUUCAACCCUCUUGGGUUUAAUGAACGUCUUGUUCACCUUAUUGGCCAUGUUUCUGCUCUUCUUACGAGCAAAACACUCCACCUUCUUGUGUUCAACCUUCCCACAGAACCAACAGCACAUCUGAUGCUGCUUCUUGCUUGGCCUGACACAGUUGCUGAUGCAUCGAUCAGUCUUCUUCUUUGUACCAGCUGCACAACCAUGAUUCAGAACCUCCUGUCUGACCUUCAUGUUGUUGCACUGAUGUACUACUUUCGGCUUGUUACUCACAGCUACGCGCUGUAGAACUUCCUGCCUUACUCACUGUCGUACGUCCCGACGUACUUCCUGACAAGCUCCUUUGGCUCCACUUUUUGAUGUGCUCCCAUGCACGAAAUGCGAUAGCCCCUUCUGGUGUACUUCCUUAGUACUCUCAGCUCCUCAAUAUCCCAGUCCCCAAUUCGCCUUGGCUGGUUGACCCAUCGAGAGUAUUUUAUCCAACUCUUUGGAUCCACUGUUGAGCAUCCUGAUCUGUUUGCGAUUCUCAGCCAAAUCACGUUCCAGCAUCAUUGCUCUCUCACGUUCAUCAAUAGCAAUCUCCCUCAGUUUGCUAACCUCCUUCUCCAGAAACUCAUAAUUCUCAUUUACAGCAGCAAGUUCUUCAGCAAGAUCUUCAUACUGCUCACGGCUCUGCACCACAUCGUGUUGCAACCUCAGAUUCUCAUUCUUGAGAUUCAACCACUUGUUGUGCAUCACUUGAUAAUCCUCAGAGUCUGUACUGACAUCUGAAUCCGAGGAUUCACUGGAUUUCUCCCUGCGUGCACCAAAUGCAACCAUAUUCUUCACCACCUUUCCAUCUUCUUCAGACUCUGAAUCAUCAGACGACUGCAAUGGAACUCCUUUUUCCUUCUUUGAGUUUGGACAUUCACGCCGUGUGUAUCCAACACCUCUGCAUUCAGAACACUUAAGUUCUCUUUGCUGUGCUACAGGACAGUCAGCCCUUAUAUGACCAAUGCCUCCACACUCAUAGCACUUGAGACUUUCUCUCCUUCUGCCAUCACUACAAAAAAAGUUGCUAUUCAUAGCACAUUGUUAUAGCACGUUUCACUGAACUGCUGUCGUUGAUGAGUGAAUUUUUUUUUUAGUAUAGGUUAGCAUUAUAUUAAUGCUAUGAUAGAGUUUUGCUAAGCGGGAAGCUAAAAUUAGCUUUUCCACGAAACACUUAGUAAAAAUUAGCUAAUAUUUUCUGUUUUCCCUCUCUCUAAUCGGGGUUCCCUCUCUUCUCUCUCAUUUUCCCCCUUUCUCGACAAAACUCUAAGAGAAAUCAAUCUGGAUUCUCCAUCUCCUUCUCUCUCGUUCUCUCUCUAUUUCCAUCUCUGUCUCGAUUCUCCAUCUCCGGUUCUCCAUCUCCGCCUCGAUUCUCCAUCUCCGCCUUGAUUCUCCAUCUCUGAUUCUCCAUCUCCUCCUCGAUUCUCCAUCUCCUCCUCGAUUCUCCAUCACUCUCCUUCAUCGCUGCUUCUCCCAGCUCCGAUUCAACUCCUGUUCUACAUCUCUUAGGUAUAGGAAGUCACAAUUUUGAUAUCUCUGUCAGUGUUAAGCUGAAAUCGAAGUUUUAUUUUUUUGCUUUAAUUUCUUGGUUGCUUUGAUAUGUUUGUUGCUUUGAUUUCCUGUUUUAUUCCAGUUAUCUUUUUAUUUGGUUGGUAUCGUUUCAUGCUCUGAAUAUUUUUGCUAUAUCAUUACAUCCUCUGACUCUUAUGUGUUAUGUUAUAAGUUCGUUUUGUUACAAAAGGUUUCAACUUAGGUUCGAACACAGCAUUAUGGACAAAGCUUGGGUACAUCUAAACAGGUAAUGAGCUUAAGCGUGUAUCUCAUGUUUCAUUUGGUGAUUACUGACUUAACUUGUUUAAUUUUGUUUUUCUUUUGAUUGUUAAUGGCAGAGUUGAUCCUGGAUAUGAGAGAGGGGCUUCAAAGUUUGUCCGGGAUGUGGCUUCAGCAAUGGGAGGGGUUGAUGUUAUUGUAUGUCCGUGUAUUGACUGCCGUAACAUAGUUCGACAUUCAGCAAGUGUGGUACUUGAUCAUCUUGUUACUAGGGGUAUGGAGGAGGGUUAUAAGAUGCGGGCUGAUUGGUAUCUACAUGGAGAGUUGAACACAGAGGUUGCUGAUGAAAGCAAAGGAAGUGAGUGGAACGAUGAGAUCUAUGGGUUGUUCAGAGCUGCUGAGUGUUUUGAUGAAGAGUUAGCUGGUAUGGGGAAUCUAUCUGAUAUGGCAGAGGGAGAGGACAAGAAAGAAGAUGAGUUCUUGGCAAAGCUAGCUGACGCUGAAACACCAUUGUAUCCGAGCUGUUCAAGCCAUAGCAAGUUAUCUGCAAUUGUUUCGUUGUUCAGAUUGAAGACUCAGAAUGGAUGGUCUGACAAGAGCUUCAAUGAUUUGCUAGAGACCUUGCCAGACAUGUUACCUGAAGAAAAUGUCUUGCACACAUCACUCUAUGACGUGAAGAAGUUCUUGAAAUCAUUUGACAUGGGCUACGAGAAGAUCCAUGCUUGUGGCAACGACUGCUGCCUAUUCAGAAAGAGGUUCAAGAAGCUCGAUAAGUGUCCUAAAUGCAAGGCUUCAAGGUGGAAGACUAAUGUUCACACGGGUGAGACGAAGAAAGGCGUCCCACAGAAAGUUCUCCGUUACUUCCCUGUAAUACCAAGACUUAAGAGAAUGUUCCGGUCUGAAGAAAUGGCCAAGGAUUUGCGGUGGCACUUUACCAACAAAAGCAGUGAUGGAAAGCUGCGUCAUCCUGUUGAUUCUGUGACAUGGGAUCAUAUGAAUGCCAAAUACCCUACGUUUGAAGAUGAAGCAAGGAACCUGAGGCUGGGACUUUCAACAGAUGGAUUCAAUCCAUUCAACAUGAAGAACUCGAUGUACAGUUGCUGGCCUGUUCUGCUAGUUAACUACAACUUACCUCCAGACCUGUGCAUGAAGAAGGAGAACAUCAUGCUUUCUUUGCUGAUUCCUGGUCCACAUCAGCCUGGUAAUAGCAUAGAUGUGUAUUUAGAACCCCUAAUCGACGAUCUUAACACUCUGUGGAGCAUUGGAGAGGUAACAUACGACGCUCUUACUCGAUCAGCUUUUACACUAAAGGCGAUGCUGCUUUGGACAAUCAGCGAUUUUCCAGCUUAUGGGAAUCUAGCAGGCUGCAAAGUAAAGGGAAAAAUGGGAUGUCCGUUAUGUGGAAAAAAUACAGAGAGCAUGUGGUUGAAGUUCAGCAGAAAGCAUGUGUAUAUGGGUCAUAGAAAGGGUUUGCCACCAACUCACAGUUUUAGAGGAAAGAAGAAAUGGUUUGAUGGAAAAGUAGAACAAGGGAGAAGGGGAAGAAUACUUACUGGGCGUGAUAUUUCUCAACAUCUGAGAAAUUUUCACAAUGAUUUUGGAAAUUUCAAACGGUCUGCCAGUAAGAGAAAAAUGAUGCAGGGUUCAACUGAUUUAGGGUCUGAUAUUGAGGGUAUGUCGAGUGAAUCAGAUGAAGAGGAAGAAGUACUAGUAGAUAAGGAUGAGUUAUCUAGAUGGAAGAAGAGGUCAAUAUUCUUCAAGCUACCUUAUUGGGAGGUAGAUUAUUAUUUCAUUUGCUUAGUUUUUUUUUCCUCAUCACUGUUAUUUUCUUAACUUAAAUAUGAUAUUUUAUUUCUCAUGUGUAGGAACUCCCGGUGAGGCACAACUUAGAUGUAAUGCAUGUGGAGAGAAAUGUUGCUGCAAGCUUAGUUUCAACGUUGUUGCACUGUGGGAAAUCUAAGGAUGGUCUUGCCGCUCGUAAGGAUCUGGAGGAGCUUGGUAUUAGGCCGGAUUUGCACCCUAGAGUGCAAGGAAAAAGAACUUAUCUCCCUCCAGCACCGUGGUCUUUGUCCAAGCAAGAAAAGAAGAUAUUUUGCAGGCGUCUAUUUGACUUCAAAGGGCCAGAUGGAUAUUGUUCUAACAUAUCAAGAGGUGUCUCGUUGGAUGACUGUAAAGUCUCUGGUCUGAAAUCACACGACUACCAUGUUUUGAUGCAACAACUUUUUCCGAUUGCACUUAAAGGGUUGCUGCCAAAAGGACCGAGGCUUGCAAUUUUUAGAUUAUGCUCUUUCUUCAAUCUGUUGUGUCAAAGAGUGAUUGACAUGGAGAAGCUUCUGGUUAUGGAAGCUGAGAUUGUUGAGACUCUGUGCUUGUUUGAAAGAUACUUUCCUCCAAGUUUGUUUGAUAUCAUGCUUCAUUUGACUGUCCAUCUAGGAAGAGAAGCUCGGCUUGGUGGACCAGUCCACUUUAGAUGGAUGUACCCGUUUGAAAGGUAGAUAGAUAUGAUUUUUUUUUUCAUUCUGUUAUAAACAUAUCCAAAACUGACAUUUAUUGAUUUGAUUCAGGUACAUGAAAGUCCUCAAAGACUUUGUUAGAAAUCCUGCAAGACCAGAGGGCUGCAUAGCUGAGUGCUACCUUGCUGAGGAAUGUAUCCGGUUUUGCAGUGAGUUCCUGAAGAAAACAACAAAUGUUCAAGAGAAACAGGAUAGAAACACAGAGUAUGAGAACAAUUCUAUCUUAGAGGGUCGUCCAAUAACCACUGCUACUUCAAUAACUCUCACUGAAACGGAAAAGAGAAUUGCUCAUCUUGCUAUCAUCCAAAACAUGGCUCUGGUCGAACCUUAUGUAGAGUAAGUAUAAAUUUAUCUUUCAUUACAUAGUUUUUAUUUACAAUCAAUAACUUUUUCUAAUUUAUUUCUAUUUUGAUCUGCUACUAGUGAGCAUCUACAAUAUUUACAAGACACAGAUGGAAGGUGUUGGCGAGAUGCAUCAAUGUUAUGGAGUAUGCAUACUAAGAAUUUUGCUUCCUGGCUAAAAGAGAAGGUACUGAAUUACAUUAUACAAUUCUCCUCUUAUAGACUGCCUACUUGUUAUUGACUUGUUAUUUCUUUAUCAGGUGCCGCUUGAUUCUGCAGAACAUGACGACACACUUAAGUGGAUAGCUUAUGGUCCACGUUGUUCUGCGAGAUCAUAUACAGGAUUCAUUGUUAAUGGGCAGAGGUUUCACACAGUGUCAGUUGAUAGGAAAAGUCAGAAUAGUGGGGUCUAUUAUGAGGCUACAGCAGUGUGUAGAGCUAGUGCAAAAGAUACUUCACAGGUGGUAGAUUUAGUAUCUUACUACGGCAGGGUGACAGACAUCAUUUUGAUCGACUACAAUGUCUUCUAUGUUCCUCUGUUCCGAUGUCAAUGGGCAGUUAAGGGUAAUGGAGUAAAGAUCGAAGAUGGUUUUACGCUUGUGAACAUGAAUCAAAGUCAAGCCUCCUUUGCAAGUGACCCUUACAUUCUAGCAUCUCAAGCGAAGCAAGUGUUUUACUCCAGAGAAGAUGAGUCAUCAAACUGGUAUAUUGUCAUGAAAGGUCCUUCUAGAAGAUACAGUAAGGAAGAUAUUCAAGAGGGAAAUGCAGAUAUUGGGCCACUACCGUCGAAUGUUGACUUGGAUGUUGACAUUGAUGAUGCUGAGAAUGUCAGAACUGAUUGUGAAGGGAUAUAUGUGUGACGAAGUUGCCUUAUUUACAUUGAUGAUAUCAUUGCUUGUUUUUGUUUUUGAUUGUGGUACUUGCUUGGUCAUUGUCUGCUUGUUUGGUUGUUUCUUGUUGUGUGAUUGUUUCAGUGUUCUGUUGAGUAUGAAGUUAACUAUGUAUUUCUUAUUAUAUUUCAGGUGAAUUAAGAUGGGACGUGCAAAGCAGACUAAACGUGGAAGGAGACAAGCAAAGAAGUCAAAAAAGGCAGAUGAUGACGAAGUUGAGUUCGUUUGUACUAUCCAAACACAUGAAGAAGAACAUGAAGAGGAACAUGGGCAGCAACAGGAACAGGAAGAGGAACAUGUGGAGGAACGAGAACCGGAAGAGGAACAUGAGGAGGAACAACAACAGGAAGAGGAGCGUCCACCAGAGCAACAUAAUGGCGACGAGCCUGAAGGUGAGAUAGAACAUACUCAAGAGGCUGAAGGUGGAACCUCCCGUAAGAGAAAGCGUGGUCCAACAAUGAUGAGAGACCUAGCCAAAGAUCCAAAUACCAGAGUUCAUGUCGAUUUCACUUUUAUGGGAGAAGCUUAUGGUCCUGGUUCAGUCAAGUUAUCUUCAUAUUUGGGUCCGUUGGUAAGGGAGCACGUGCCUGUUACAGUUGAAAAUUGGAAAAAAAUUACUGAAGAAGUGAAGACAGUGCUUUGGAAAUCAGUCCAGGUGACAAUUUCUAAACGAUAACAGCAUAUAUAUUUCUGAACAGACAUCAAGUUAUUGAUUAUUGGUUGGCUAACUACGUUUGCAGGCAAGGUUUGAACUUGAUGAGGACCACCAAAGGGUUGCAGUUCUUAAGCAGAUGGGAGCCUUGUGGAGAUCAUCCAAGUCACGUCUUGUUACCCAAAUCAAUGAAGCUGAAAAUAACCAACAAAGGAUGAAUCUCAGACCUAAGAAUGUUCAUCCAAUUGAGUGGCGCAAAUUUGUGAAGCUAAAAACAAGCCAAGAAUUCAAGGUAUAAAUUCUUAAAUGAAUAAGAUCGUUAUUACUAACUAGAUUAAUAAGAUCGUUAUUACGAAAUGAUAGGUUCUGAGUGAUAGCUACAAAGAGAGGAGAAGCAAACAGAUUCCUCACACUUGUAGUAGAAAGGGAAUGGUUAGACUAGCAGAAGAGAUGGUAAGCAUAUUAUCUUAGAUUUUGGUUUCAUUUUUUUAUCUGUAGACAAGGCUGUUGACAUAUAAUUUUGCAACAGAAAAAUAGUUCUGAAGACAAAUCUGAAGUGUCGAGACUUAAAGUCUGGGUGAGGUCACGUACAAGAAAAGAUGGAACUCCCAUCAACACAAAUGCUGCCGAGAAGAUUGUAAGUUUAUAACAUAAUCUGUUCCUCCUAUUAAAACAAUCUUAUAACUUUUUCUGUUAAUUGUAAUGUGGUAUACAGCAAAAGGCAGCUGAGAUUGUUAAGGGUGGUAGUCAGAGUGGAAAAAAUCUGGAUGAAGAUACGCUCAUCCAGGUCUUAGGACCUGAUAAUCCUGGUCGUAUGAGAGCAAUGGGGAGGAUAAUUAGUAAGACGAAAUUAGCUUGCUUCAAUGUCAACCAGAAGUCAAUUUCUGAAAUGCAACAGACACAAAUUCAUCUUAUGCAAAAGGUUAAUGAACUACAGUCUGAACUUGCGAAAGUAAAAAACCAGGUUAGUUACAUCUCCAAGAAUACAUAAAGAUAAGUGCUUAUCACAUAAUAAUAAGCUUUGUGUUGGGUUUAUGUUACAUAGAGAUGACAAUGAAGUGGGGGAAAACUCGGCUGCAAGAGUAAGCAAUUUAUAUGAGAUCAAUGGCAUUUUUUUUCUACUUUACACUACUCUUAUACUUUAACAACUGAACAUUUAACAGAGUGUGAACAAGAUACCACAAAAGAAGUGUCUUCUCAUUGACUGGGCUGAUGAAGAUGGAAACGUUGCUGAGGGUCGUAUCAUUUCUUCUGACCCUGAAGCCAUAGUGAAUGACAGUCGAUUAGGUCCUAAUGAUGUUAAAGUCUUGGUUGAUGAAGCUACUGAACCUGAAGCAUUCCUCUGGAGACCUGCGACUAACAUGUGCACAAUUAAGGAAGCUGUUGGUCAUAUUAUUGCAUGGCCGAAGAAAAAAUGCGUGGAACUAGGUCUGGGGCUUGAACAUGAAGACAUUGCACCACUGGUAAAUUUUUUUCAUUCUUGCAGUUACAUAGUUAAUAAGGUCAUGAUUUCGCCUAUGAUAACUUCUUUUUUCUGAAUGUGUUUGAUAGGGCUCAAGAGCAAAUUCUCUCAACAAAUGCAAACUUCUGGAUUUGUCUGAUGACAGUGUAGUUGUUGGUGAAGGGCGUUGGCAGACAAAAGAACCAAAAGCAUUGGUUAAUGGACUUCCUCUAGGACCUAAAGCAGUUAAAGUAUUCUUGGAUGUUGUACAUGAGCAUGGAACAUAUUUAUGGAGGCCUACGAUGGAUCAUUCCUACCUGGAGGACUGCUUACAUUCUUUUAUGUCAUGGCCUGCUAGCAAAGUUGUCUUUGACAAUCCACCAGAAGCAACAAGAGGACAAUCUCCUACGGGUAUGAAAGUUACAUCGGUUGGUUAUAAGUCGCCUACUGAUACAAGUGGUAGAAAAGGUGCAAAAUCAGGAGCAACAACAUCAAUUCAUACUGACGAGUCUCCUGCAACUGAUCAGGUAAAUUUUUAACUUAUAUGUUCAAUCAUCUGCUCAUAUUAAUAUCUGUGUUUUGAAUUGUGUGCAUGUCUAUUGUAAAGUGUCAGCUUAAGCAUGGAUCUCAGACAAUGAAACAGAAUCAGAAGUGCAAAUUGAUGGACAUUGGUGAGAGGAAACAAGUUGUUGCUGAAGGUCGUAUCCAUUCAACAGACCCAACUCAACUGGUCCACUUUGUGCGCUUGGGUCCGAAAGCAGCUAGAGUGUGGGUAGAUGCAGUGCUCGUAGAUGAUGCCGAAGUUUGGAGGAAAUCAGAUGAAAUAGAGAGUUUGAAAGAUGCACACGGUUCAUCAAUUGCAUGGCCAAUUGAUAAAUUGGUCAUAUUUUAAGCUGCUGUAAGUAUUCUGUUUUGUGUGUUUAAAUCUGCAUAUGUAAUUGCAUAACUGAUCAGAGUUUUCAUUGUUGCAGCAGCUGAGGGAAUGAAGAACUUAGGUCCAGAUUUAGCUAGUGUUUAAGCUAGGCUAAUGAACUUGAUGUAUGAUAUUAUUGCUUAUGACUUUGGUUUGUGUUUUAGAACUGCAUCAGUAACACUUAUGUGUAAUGACUUAUGUAUGUCAAACUUAUUUUAUGAUUGUGUUAGUUUGUUAUGAAGUUUCUGCUUUUUUUAUUACAAAUUUUCGAAAAUGCAAAUUCAUAGCUCGUGGACAAAAUAACAAUAGCUAAAAAAAAACAGUUAUGCUUGUAAAGCAUAGCAUUAAAUAUUUCAUAUAAUGUAAACUAUCAUAAUAUAUUUCUAAGCUAUUAAAAACUUUAGUAUAGCACUUAUCCACAGCAAUUACCAAAAUAAGCUAUUGCUAUUGUAGACGUUGCUACCAUGGCACACAAUACGUAUCAUAAUCAAUUUGUAACAAAAAAUAACUGUGCCGUAGAUUCAUUAAUAACAUCAGCUAAUUAAUGCUAUCGUAAACGUACAUUUCGUAGCAUCAAAGAAAAACGCUAUUGUAGGGGCCUACCUAUGAUGGCUGCCGUAUACACAGCAGUUGUGAAUUCGCUAUCAAAACUCUAACAUAGCAUAUAACCCGCGCUAACAAUGAGCAUUUUUCUUGUAGUGCAUUGUCACGAUCACCUCCCUGGCGACCAUACUGAUUCCUCCCACCAGAAGAAUUCAUCUUACCAAAAAUUCCUGACCAGCAUACCAAUGUCAUCUUCAAUCUUUUGAAACCUAUCAGUAUAUUUGUCAGCUACAAGCGCCACACUCCUUGGCGCACUGCUUGAUGUAGAGACUGAACUAUUGUCUGUCUCCAUCUCUUGUGCCUUCAGCAUACCCACAAGUUUGUCAAACUUGAGCUCAUCCGUGUUUGUAGUCAUCUGCAAGACUGCCUUGUGAGCUCCAAACUUUGUUGGAAGACAACGUAGUAACUUCUUUACCAGCUUCUUCUCCUUGUACUUCUUCCCAAGUACAAAUGCUUCAUGCGCCAUAGUACUGAGUUUGGCACUGAAGCUCGCCACAGAAUCAUUAUCAGACCACCUGAGAUUCUCAAACUGCGACCCAAGAUGAUCUAGACGUGUCCUCUUGACAUUCUCAUCUCCUUCAAACGAAUUCAGCAGGAUCUCCCACGCCUCUUUAGCCGAAGUACUCCCCUGAAUCAGCUGAAACUGCUCUGCUUCAACAGCUCCAAAAAUCACCGACAACGCCUUUGCAUUAAAUUUUGAUGCAUUGCGUUCUGCCUCUGACCAAUCUUCUUUUGGCUUAGGCUUCUUCUCACCUCCUGUGACUAUGGUAGGCUCCUCCCAACCAAUCUCCACAGCUGUCCACGCAUCUUCAUUGAUUCCUCGAAUCAUCUGCUUCAUGCGAGCCUUCCAAUGACCAUACUGGUCCGCAUUCAACACGAUCGCCUUCUGCACAAAAAUAAUCGUGUCCAUCUUCACCUUUAGGAUUACACCGAUAACUUAGGUGCCCUGCUCUGAUACCACUUGUUAGUGCAAGAUGACACAACAAUAAGGCAAUGCAGGAAGUAAAGCAAGAGACAAACAACUACAAGCAACCCUUAAGCUUUAUUAGAAAUCGCCUUCUACACUCUAUUACAAGUUCUGCUUAAUCAGCUUUACACAGUCUGUUACACCCUAAAAACUGCUACUGAAAGAUUCCUAAGCUACCCGCUUGUGUCUCUCUUCCGUCGAGUACUUCAGCCAUUGCUUCAGCACGACCCCAGAACACCUCCAAGAGCUUCUCUCUCUCUAUAAGAUCAGCCUCCGUGUCUCUGUCUCUAUACAGACAACCCCAUAGCUAUCUUAUAGUUAUUCUCCAUAUUCCCGAAACCCUAGUCUCCAAGGCAACAUGUAUGGACAUCUUCCAUAACAAUAACUGCAACUUUCCUUUUCUUGGAAUGCACUUAUUCCUCUUUCUUUAAGUCAUAAACUUGCUCCUCAAGUUUAUUCCUCUUUCCAUAUCUCCAAGAUACUCCCUUGCUCUCCAAGUCUACACGACUCCAGGUCAGCAUCUUGACUCCACAUGGUCUUCAGCACUCACUACGACAUCUGCUUCAGCAACUACGUCAGCAACUAAUUCAGGGCAGACAUCUUACAUCUUCAGUCCUUCUUAUAGUAAAAUAGGCACACCAUAGAUAGAGUAAGUUUCUUCAGUUUUACUGAUUUGGAACUUAUUAUUAUUGCAGAUCCUGGUCGAGCAUUUGGAGACCUUAUGCUAAGUCGGGUAUAACAGAUGAAAUGCUAGAUAGUUUGAUAAUUGGGAAUGACUUCUAAGGGGUCGAUGGACUGCCUCCCCAAACCGAGAUUGAAAACUUGCCCCGUGACAAGAGUUCGAAGAAGUCAUCAAGAGCUGAGAUAGAGAAGUCCAGAUGCAAGAGGAAAUCGCAAAAUCACGGGUGGAUGAAACAUGUAGAGCCUAUGGAACCUGGAGAAGAAAAUGCAGCAUUUAUGGGGUGUGGAUUGUACUUGGGAAAGGAGAGUUCCGUGUGUAUUUUUAGAUUUGUGUGUUAUUAUGUACAUGUAAGGCUUUCUUUCAACGAUGUGAUACUUGCGACCAAGAGUGUAAAGCCGCCUUGGAUCUUUGAGCAACUUUUGUUCUGGAACACAUGUAUCUUUCAUGCACCUUAUGCAGAGAAACAUGACAAAUUGUAAACACAAAACCCAUUACAAGGAAGCAAGAGUAAACGAACUAAACAUAUUUGUAAGUAAAAAAAAAAGUUUAAUCAAUAGUGAACCAAGAGCCAUAAGAUGUCCCAAAAGAGCAGGAAAAACAUAUUAAGGAUAUUUCCGGACCGGACCUGUGAGAAUGUUGUAAGCUAUCUUUGAAAGUUUCAAAAAGACAAGAACAUAUUUCCACAAAUACUUUAGAUUCAACAUUUGGAAUGACUUAGGUCAUUUGAUGUAUUUAGACACACCUGAAGCAAAACAGAGUUGAUCACAUCCGACACCUGACAGCUAAACUCAAUGACAUACACCACGCAGGCGCAAUAGCAAAACACCUUACUCUCUUCUAUCAAUAUUCCCCAACCUAUCCAAAUGACGAACCACUUACAAAGCCAACAUUGUAGCUAUACCAGACCCGAGAGAAUGUCCAGCAAGUAAAACUCGGAUACUUCACCACCAAUUCUUUCAAAACUUUACAUUCCUCAUCUUCAACAGUCCGUUGUGCACAUACCCGACCACCAUCAAACUUCAUUUCCCUAAGCUUGUUAUCUAAAAGCACAGAAUAUUCGCAACUCAGCCCCGGAUGGCAACAACGACAUCUUUAUGAUCAAGAUAUAGUAUAUACGCUGGAGCACGACCCUGAGUGUCUUGAUAAGUCUUCUUUAGAAACAAGCAAUCUUGUUUCAUGAUCAUAAACAAGAUUGCUUGAUAUGGGAUUGCUUGUUUAUCCCAUAUCCAUAUCCUUGUGGAGGCUCCCAUAGAGGAAUUUGGAUGUCAUCUUCGUAAAUCGAUAAGAUGUAGCGGCAAAAGGCAGAAACUCUCCGACAAUCUUGACUGUCCUGACCAGCAGUGUAAAGAUAGCGUUUGUAAUCCCAACGUGCACAGCCAAGAGAGUAACAACAUUCUAGAAGAGGGCAACAACCACAUAGAAUCAACAUGAACAGGUUGGACUCACUCAUACCAUCAUCAUAUAGCUAUGAAACAAAGGUAUAAACUUUAAUUUUCAAUCCGAGAAAUUUUGUAACUUUAGUACACGCUGAACUAAAAUUACAAAAAGUAACCAAAUUUUGUUUUUUAAGAACAAAAUUAUCCACUAUGAACUUUUUUUUUAGUUUGUUUCUUUUAUCCCAUCUUGGUGAGAGCAAUUUGGUCAAGGUGCAAUAAUUGUGUGUUGCCUUAAGUGUUUGUACUUCUGUUCCACGUUGAACAGUCUCCAGCUUUCUCCAAAGUCUUUAGACAAGACCAGCUUCAGAGCUUCCACCCCUUCUGCUAAAGCUCCAUCAAUCUUUUCCCACAAAACACACAGAGAUGCAAAAAAAAAAAAAGAAGAGAGAGAUCAUUUCCUAGUGUUUGAUUUAAACCACAACGUUUCAAUGUCUAUAAAUGCUCAAAAAGACUUUUACCCGUUCACGAGCUAGCAUGCUGAACUUCUGCAACAAGAACGCCUUUGGAUCCAUUUGUCCAGGAGGCUUCCCAAUCCCUUUUAACAUUAAUUAAUAGAUGAUAAGAACAACAAGAGCUCGAUUUAGAACCCAAAUAUCAGAGAAAUAAUGUUAAGUUACAAGAGAGGGUCCAAACUAACCGAUUCGUAGCCUUGCAAAUUCCUUAUUGCCUCGGAAAUGGUGCAUUACUGACUUUAACCUGAGAAGAACACAAGCAAGUAUAUACAAUAACAGUUUUCAAUAGAUUGAUUCACAUAUUAUAAUGGUCUAAGUUAAGCAAGUUACUGAUGAACUCUGUUUUACACAUGGCCACAGCCUAUAUAAAAUAAAAAUGUACCCGUUGUGACAUCCAUGGCCUCCUUUUUCUUGAAGGCGAAGAACACCACAUGGCAAUUGUGUGUCAUCAUGCACCUGCAUCACCACAGCAACAAUGAAAUUAAGUGGCUUCUGCUGCUAAAGAGAUUGUAAGAAUGGGUAGGGGCCGCUUGAGAGACAGAAAGAGUAAUAGGAUUUACCACAAGCACACGAUUGAGGGGUAACUUGUAAUAAGCCGCGAGAGGUCCACUCUGAUCAGUUUCAGGAGAGGUGCAGUUAGUAAGAAAAGCAAUAGAUUCUUAUGACCCAUACAUCUCUUUCACACAUGAAAGCUUCUUAUCGACCUCUAACAUGUCUAUAGAGAAAACCUAACCUUGGUUAAUGGAUGAAACACAUUCAAGAAUAUAUGUUUUGGUACAACAAGAGACCACUUUAAAUCAUUCAGGUUUCAUCUACUUUUCUACUCAACCUGGAUCUCACAAAUUUGAUAUGCUGCCAAGAUGCAAUAGUUUACACAUGAAUAAUAGGAGAAGCAAAAUUACUGAUUCACCGCUCAAGUUCAUGUAAGUUUGCGGCUUUGCCAGGAUAACAGGGAGAUCGCCCACGAAACCUGACAGAAGGACAAGACAAAAUUAGAAGCCCUCCUUAAUGCAAACAUCAAACUAACAGAGUUAUUUGUUCAUACAUGUUUACACAGAUACCUUGUCCCAUUAUAGCCUUGAAAUUUAGCAGGUUCAUCUGAAUCCCCACUGACUCAGCAAAAACAUCUAUCAUCUCGAACCCAAUCUGCAACAUAGUAGCCAAACAAGAGCAGACAUCUUGAGAAUCGACGCAGGCAAAUCCAAGUUGUUUUAAUAACUUUAAGGACUAAAAAAUGUGUGGGUACAUUGUGUCUAGUGCCAUUGUAUUUGUCGCCAGGAUUUCCCAAUCCAAGAAAGAGCCAUGGCUGCUGAUGAACAGAAGUGCAGUAGCAACGCCUUGACAACUUGCCAAGCAUCAUUAGCUCAAAGUUGAAAUCUUCUCCAAGUUUAAUAAAUCCCUAAACCUUUAUUUCCAACAGCACGCAAUCUGAAAAGAGAGACAAAUUAGUGUUUUUUUUUUUUUAAAUACUUCAAAUUUGAUUGAUCUGUGUAAAUAUCAAUGUUGAGCUAUUUACAUGGAACCAUUCACAUCCACAACACAACAGCAGAAUCAGUAUACUUGUGGCAUAGUAAAGAAGCUAAAACUUAGUCGCAGUUCAUUUCAAACAACCAACAAACUAAUCAUCAGCAAGAGUGGUAAUCAUAAUAUUCAAAUCAAACAAAAAAAAAGCAUUAAGCAGGUCAAGAGAAACAUAAUAGUGCAAAACAAAGACACUUCUGAAACAGCUAAUAGCUAAAUGAUAGAACAAGCGAAAACAGAAACUAGUAACAUGGCAAGGAUGGAGAACACAACUAUAAGUAAAGCGAGACUUCAAGAGUUAGCAACCAACCUCAAAUCUCAGGAAUAUAUCUCUAUUGAACAUAAAUAAGGAAUCAAAUUGUAUUUUGCAGUGGUCGAACAUUUAAAAGAAACUUCAAAGGGCGAUUACUUUUGAUUAAUAAGCCAAAACAGACAACAACAAAUCAAACAAUUGGAUUAUCAAAGAGAUGAUGAUGAUUCCGACAAACAUAAAAACUAAGAAACAUUACCAUUGUUGUUCCAUUUUCGUUGAUAAAUCAUUCACUUGAUUAGUUAGUUGUUCAGCGAAGUCACAAAAACCUUUAGGAAGAAGAAGGUGGUGGUCAGGUCUUCGGUUUCCUUUGGUUUAAAAUUGAACCAAAAAGGCUUUCUUUCUUUAAUGGGCUUUUAAUGCAUCCCAGCUCGUUGAAGAAAAGGCCCAACAGAUAGCCAUUAGGGUUUUAGGUAUUUAUAACCUAAUCAUCAAACAAGCCCUUGUCAUUUCUCUCGUCUCGCCGCAACCUUUUCUCUGACAUUCAUGUGAGUACUCUUCUUCUUCUCUGUGAAUUUUUAUUGCUGUUAAGACCUAAUCUCUAGAAUUACAUAGCCGUGACAUCGCAUUGAUCGGUUUUGUCUCAUUUUCAGUCUUAAGUGUCCGUCUAGCUCCUGCCACUUGUUUUGUUUCGUUUACUGUACUGAUUUAAUUGUUUGGUCUCCAUCCUUUUGCUAGUUUCUUAUCUGUUUCUAUGUUAGCUUUUAUUUAAUGAUUUCUCUUGACCUGCUUAGUGUUCUUUUUGUUUUGAAUAUUAUGAUUGUCUAACUCUUGCUGAUGAUUUACUAUAAUGUGCAGCUGAGGAGAAGAAAUGAAGCACAACAAUGUCAUCCCCAAUGGUCAUUUCAAGAAGCACUGGCAGAACUAUGUCAAGACUUGGUUCAACCAGCCUGCCAGGAAAACCAGGAGAAGAGUUGGUUAGUUAUCAAUCUUGUUCAAUAACGUUAUGUGCUAUGUUGUAUUUUACUUGAACAUGUGUUUGUUUUAUGCUUUACUCAGCGAGACAAAAGAAGGCUGUGAAGAUCUUCCCCCGUCCCACUGCUGGACCUCUUCGCCCUGUUGUGCAUGGUCAGACUCUCAAGUACAACAUGAAGGUCCGAACCGGUAAAGGUUUCACUCUUGAAGAGCUCAAGGUAUUUUUGUCUAUCUUUUUUCUUUGUUUCCAUUUCUUUGUGAGAUAUUUGUUUGUAAUCUUUACUUGUCUUUGUCUUUAGGCUGCUGGAAUCCCCAAGAAGUUGGCACCAACCAUUGGUAUCUCUGUUGACCAUCGCCGCAAGAACAGAUCUCUCGAGGGUCUUCAGUCCAAUGUCCAGAGGCUCAAAACCUACAAGGCUAAGUUGGUCAUCUUCCCGCGUCGUGCCAGGAAGGUCAAGGUAUUACUCUCCAAACGACAAUCUUCCUCUUCUUUUAGAUUAGACUUUACAUCUGUGCUCAUGGGUUUUUAUUACUUUUGAGACGACAACCCUCUAGUUAAGAUUUAUCUUUAAACUUUUGCUCAAGACUCUUCUUUUUCUAUUUCUUUUGUGUCAGCCUGGUGAUUCUACUGCUGAAGAGUUGGCCAAUGCCACUCAAGUCCAAGGGGACUACAUGCCUAUUGUCCGUGAGAAGCAUGCUACAGAGCUUGUGAAGCUGACAACUGAGAUGAAAUCAGUCAAGGCUUUUGACAAGAUCCGUCUGGAGCGCACAAACAAGAGACAUGCCGGUGCUAGAGCCAAGAGAGCUGCUGAUGCUGAGAAAGAAGAGAAGAAGUGAGAGACGCACUUUAUCUCUUGUCAACGUUUGAAUCAGUCUUUUUUUGUGUAUCAGACUCUGUUUUUGUUUCUUCAGAUUUUUAUCCUUCAAAGAUUUUGCUGCUACUUGGUUAUCUGGAUUUAUGGAAAAGAUCGUUUUACACAUCUACUAUCUACUUCAAACCCAUAUCUUGCUCUACCAUAUUAAGCGUUACUUUGUAGCCUCUCUCUCUGAAUCCACUUCAUAUGUCUACCUACCUCUUUUAAGUUAAAUGAAGUAUUACAUUUCAACCAACAUUUCCUUCUACACAAUCACAUUAUUCGUCAUUUUGUGGAUUUUGGAUUAUUCAAUUAACGUCAGUAUUCACAUAAUUCAGAUUCUUUAGCCACAAGGAGGUACGUGUCUAGAUGCAAAACAAACGGUCUCUGUAUUGUUUUGUUCAAGUUCCAGAAGCUAUAAGGUCUUGGCGCAGGCUAGAUUCGUCUUCCUCUUCAACCACCAUCCAUGGCAAUAUAGGCCCCUGUUAAAACCACAUAGACAUUAGCGCUCUUUUUGGAUAAGAUCAAAGCAGUAUGCACUUGAAUGUUUUGAUUACCUUGCCUUCACGUAUGACCUUGGGAUAUGGUCCUGUCAUAUCAACAAUGGUUGAUGGUUCAGCCACUCUUACACCUCCAUCUACCAGAAAAUCCAGACCCUGUAGAAAGAAAACGGAAAAUGAGACUAGAGCAAGCAGAGAGCUUGUUUAGUCAAAUAGACAGCAGCUAUAUAUGUACCUCUGGUCCAUAUAUGUCACCAAUUAUGGUUGGAUCAAUCAUCCAUUCGUUUUCUUUUGGCCCUUUCACACUGUCAUUAAUCAUACGUAUUAAUUACCACUAUACACAAAUGUAAAUGAUUGGGAUGAAGAAGGAACCAACCUGGUGCAAAUCAGAGGGGCAUCCAUGGACUGUAGAAUGGCUUGGCAGACAGCAUCAUCUGAUAUGCGUACACCCACAUUCUUCCUCGAAGCGUAUUUCACACUUGUCGUUCCAUACCCUACGCAUUGUUUAGGUAACUCCUUGCUUGCAGUCAAGAUGAAGGUGUACUGCGCAAAACAUACGCCAUCAUGUUAAUGGACAGAUGAAAACUGUUUGGAUUAUACAAGAGUCAUGGAGUAUCUCACAGGUCCAGGCAAGCAUUGCUUAACAGCACGGAAAACGUUGGCAUGACCAUGACCAUCGCCACGAGGGAACCCCAUUGUAUAUGUGUCUAUGUCCCUUAAGGAACGGCAUAAGAUACUAAGUGGCUGCAUCAUGGCAAGAAAAAAAACAAAGAGUUAGCCCACACACAAACAGGUCCAUUUUGCAGCUAGUAUCUAUGUUCAUGGUCCUGACCUUGGAAGAUUCAAUCUUUUUAAUCCUACAGCGACAAAACAGGUUUAUGUUAGGUAAUAGAAUCGAUUCGGAAGUAAAGUACACACACUGUUUUAAGACAGAAAGGACUAACCUUCGGAGACGUUCUACAGCGGAAUGGUUCUUACAGUCACAAACUAUUGCAUAGACUGUAUCAGUGGGGAUAACACCAACGGCUCCUUGUUUGAGAAGCUCAAUAACAGGUUCGAGUUUCCACGAAUCAGCACCUGAAGGGUCCACCUCUAUUGACACAAACUCCCCCUCCUUUGUGAACCGAGGGGUAGAGUAUUUGAGACGCUUAGGGCUUCUCUUUGCCGAUGCCAUCGCAACAUUUCGCCUCCGUGGGGUGAAAGAGGCGAAGCUCGGAAGCGUUGGGAUACGGCGGUGAGUUGACGGGAAAGGAAGACGCAUCGCCAUGAAAAGAAUCCAACUUUGAGAAACAGAAGAAUAUACGAAAAAGGCUCAUCUUUGGGCCUUAAUUGGACUCUGUUAUAGCCUCAUAGACCAUAUCAAUCACUUUUAUCAUGUUUUUUUAACUCAAAACUUUGUUUUAAAAUGAAGAUUAUCGACAAGAUGUGUAACACUACUAAAGAGUCAAGGAUACAAACACUCUAUUAUAGCAGAGAUAAAUAGAACUUUGUCUUCAAGAAAAGGAGGAACCUACAAACGUCUCCUCUCUCUCACAUUCAUACGUUUCAUCUGUCGCUUACUAGAAAGAUAAGACCCUAAACCGAUGAUACCCGCAUCAACGAGUCUGGUAUCACCGCUUAUCUCUACUUUCAUAGCAUCUUCAAGAAACCUUUGGAUCUUCUCAGAGACAUCUUCUUUACAGACAAUAGGAAUUAUCAUCUCCCAAGUGUCUGAAUGCAAUGCAUCCCCAUUCUUCAUCACGAGCUCCACCACAUCACAUGCUUCUUCUACUUUCCCAAAGCUGCACAACCCUUUCACCAAACAAUUAGAAACCGAGAAAUGAGGAGAAAACCCAUUUGAUAUCAUCUCCUGUAGAUACUUCUUGCCUUCCUCAAACAUUCCUUCACCACACAAUCCCCCAAUCAAUGUUCUAUACGAGACCGAAUCGGGUGAGCAACAGCUAGACGACAUAUCCUCGAGAACCUUCCUAGCAUCCAUAGCACGACCUUGUCUACAGAACCCGAGAAUCAUCGUGUUGUAAUGAACAAUAUCAGGGUUGCAACCUUUUAACUUCAUCCUACAUAGAAGCUUAUAAGCCUCUCUAAGCUGUGUCUUCCUACACAAACUAUUCAACAAUGUCGUGUAACUCAACCUAUCAGGCACAAACCCUUUAUUCAACAUAUCUUCAAGCAACUCCAUAGCACCAUUCACUUGUCCUUUCCUGCAAAACCCUUGUAUCAGAAUCCUAUAAGACUCUACACCAGGGACAACAUCUCUCUCAAGCAUUUUGCCGAACAACUUGUACGCAAUACUCAAGUCAUCGUUCAAACAAAAGGCUCGCAUCAAUACGUUGUAUGUUCUCGUGUUGGGCAUCACCCCGUGAAGCCGGGCACUCUUGAAAAGCUCUAAAGCUUUCUGGAGAUAACCUCUAUGGCUUACGAGGACCUCGAGGAUCCGAUUCAGAUGCUUGGGUUGUGGAGUGAAAUUGAACUCGAUCAUUUUGUAAAACGUCUUGAAAGCUUUCUCAGGUAACUCUGCUUCUGCGUAGACUUUGAUAAGAUACGUGAAAAGCUCUCCGGUGACUGGGUAACCACUCGAUCUGUGCUUGGCCAGAACGUCGUCGAUGAGAUUGAAGUGUCUCGAACGGCCGAGUUUGAGGAUGAGGACGAGGUGAGAAGAUUGAGAGUGACGGAAACUGGGAUGUUGUGAGGCGUAAUCGAAGAUCUCUUUCGCGAGGAGAGGAUCCGAUUGCGAAGCUAUGAGCUUUUGAACGCGGGUCGGAGACCCAAAUGGUGACUUAGGGUUCCGGUUUGAUACAAUGGGCUCAUGGGUAUUGUUUUCAGAUGAAGAAGAGAAUAGAAAACGGGAGAAUAGAGAGAUUGGAGAAGUUAGGUGACGAGACACGGCGGAGGAGUUCUGGAUCGGCCGGCGAAUCAUUGCUCUCCGUUUUUCAUAGUCAACCGUUGGAAAUCAUGACGGCGUUUUCUGAAAAAUAAUAUACACAGUUUUUUUACUUGAAACGCUUCUUUCAAACAUUUUAGAUUUAAUUAAAAACUCGGUUAUUUAAUUUUGGGCAAAUCUCUCGAACAACUUUUUUAUUUAUUUUUCUGUCACAAAAAAAAGUCUUCAGAAUAGAAAUGACGAAAAUAAAUUGGCCAAUUCUCUCAAAUAAAUCUUUUUAAGUUUUUGUUACAAAAAUAGACCUCAAAAACUAAAAUGACCAAAAUAGUUUUUUGGAGAAAUUAUAUGUUUACCACUUUUAUGGUACUACUUUUCAUUUUUACCACGACUAAUGAGAUAUUUUCAAAAAUACAUUCUUUAUUAAGUGACAAAAAAUUCUUAUGCCCUUGUUAUUUAUAUAUAAUAAAAAAAAAAAAUAAAAAAUAAAAAUAAAAAAUAAAAAAUAAAAUAAAAAAUAAAAAAUAAAAUAAAUUUUAUGUUUUCAAAUUAUACUUUUUCAAAUUCGAACUUUUUUAUAAUUUUUUUUUCAAUUUUUUUUUAUUUUUUUCUUUCAAAUUUCUUUUUGAAAAACGAAAAUUAUGUUUGAAACUAUUUUUAAAAAAAAUUUAUAUAUUUUUUAAGUAUUUAUAUAUUUAUUAGAAUCAUAAAUUUCACAUUUCAAAAACUCUACCCCACCCCUCAACUCUAAACCCUAAGUCUAGAUUAUUUAACCCUAAGGUUAUAAUUGUCUUUUACCAUUCAUUAAAAGUGAGGGUAAAACUGGUUAGUGUAAACAUGAAAAGUGGUACUACGAAUGUGGUAUUUGUGGCAAUUUCCCUAGUUUUUUUUUAUUUUGAAAACUUUAAAUUUUUUUAUUUUUUUUAGUUUGAAAUCAUAUCCCAAAACCCCACUCCUCAAUUUUAAACCCUAAACCUUAAACCUUAAAUCAUAAACUCCACCACUUAACUCUAAACUCUAAUGUAUAGAUUAAUUACCCUAAAGAUAUAAAUGUAUAUUUACUUCUUUUGAUAAAAUAUUUAAGUCUAUUUUAGUCAUUUUAAUUUUUAAGGUUUAUAUUUGUGAUAAAAAAAAAAUUUAGGUCUAUGCUAGGAAAUUUCUCAAAUAAAUUUUACUAAAGAAGCAAAAAAUCAUUCUACCUAAAGAAGCAAAAAAUAAGUAAAAAUACAAAAAAUAUAUAUUUGAAAUUCGAAAAUGUUUUUUGAGACUUUUUAAAAUUUUUAUUUUUAAUUUUUAAAAAUUUUAAUAUUUAUUUUUUAUUUUAAAAAGAUUUAACCCCCUUUCCAAAGUCUAUGGUUAACUAACCCUAAUGAUAUAUUUAUCGUUAAUAAAAAAAUUUGAGUCAUUUCUUCCAAUUGAAGAAGUUGAGAAUAAAAACUUGGAUUAUUUGACCAAAAAAAAAACUUGGAUUAAAGUCAUUUGGGAUCAUUUCUCUUUAGUUUUGUCCAUUUUCGUUUUCCUACUAAGGCCAAGUGGUAAUAUUUCUUGACUUGUAGAUUUUAAAAUUUAGCUGGAAAAAACAAUCAAAUAACAAAAAUUUGUAGCGAAUGAAGAAAUAAAACUUACAAAAUCAUCUAAAUCAGUUAUUGUGAUAUUAAUAUUUUAUAAGUUGACAAAAAUAUACUGAUAUAUUACAAAAUUUAUAUUAAUACUAUUAGAAAAUUAACACAAGAAAUGUGCUAAAAUAUUGAACAUUUAUUUUGGAUAUAUUUGUUUUACACAAAAAAUUUACUGAUGAUGUGAAACCCAAAACAUAAUUUUAUUUAUUUUAUAAAAAAAUUAAUUUAUAAAAAAAUUAGUUAUUAAAAUGAUAUAUUAUUAGUCAAUAACAAAAUAAUGUAAAACAUUUAUUUAAAGUCAAUCAUUCUAAUUAGGGGUGGGCGCAAGGCGGAUACUUGCUUUUUUUACGUAUACUUGAUACUUGGCUUGCCUUGAACGAAUAAUGAAUUCUUCGACUUGUAUUUGACUUGUCAGAAACGAGUAUUUGUUAUUUCGAAUACUUGUCCAAAAAUAUGUUACUUGCAAGUUACUUGUCUUGUUCGAUUAAUUGCUACUUACAAGUAUUUAUUAAUUACUUGAAUAUAUAUUCAAGUUUUUAAAAAUUACUUGAUAGAUAAUAUUUUACGAGAAAAGAUUAUAAAAGUUUUUUUUAUUUACUCGACUCGGUAAAAACAUGAGAGUUAUUUUAAACUAGUAUAUUUCUCGUGCUACGCACGAACAUCAUUUUAUAUGAUAUUGUUUUUUCCAAUAUAUGUGUGGAAUUUAUAACGAAAAAGGUUAGUAUCAUUUUAUUUAUUUGAAUUGUCAUCACUAUCACAACUAAUUAUCACGACACAAUAAAGUGAUUUAAUUCAUUGUGAAUCUGUUAUUGGCAUACUUUGUUUAAGUUUAUUUUUUUCUAUUUUUGACCAUAUCUAAAGAAAAAAAAUUUAAGUAGGUUAGAAGAAAAAUUUCAUGAAAAAAAGAAAUUUAAUAUGAUGAAUUGAGCAAUGAAAAGCUUGUUUUUUUUUUAGUUUCACUAACCUGAAUUUUAAAACCUUCUAGCCGAAUACACUUACUUCAGCCCAUCGCAUAUUUGUAUUCUCCUUUUUCUUAAUACACUAUAAGAAUCAAAUAACUUCAAUUAACAAAAAGAAUUUCUUCAUUUUUGUUUUAAAAUCAUUUUGUUAUCUUUGUAUAUAUUUCUAACUUGAAAUAUGCAAAAAAAAGAAGAUAAUAUUGAUUGAUAAAAAAAGGAAACUGAAUCUAAAUUAAGAGUAAUCAUAAACCAAAACCAUGUACGAAUUAUUAUUUUGCAUCAGUCAAAACCUCAGUCCCAAAAUAUGAAGCGAUGAAGAUGAAAUUAUUGUGCUACUUCUUUUUUACCUGGACUGGUUUUCCAUUCCAAUUUCCAAGCGUCCUUCUUUCUCUGUUUAUUUAUAUGUUUUCUUCUUCUGUCUUAAUCUGUAGUUUUUAAUUUAAUCAUUUUAAAUAUGAAUGCCUAAUAAAAAAAAAUGAAGCGAUGGAGAAGAAGAUAAAAUGUAGAAGAGAAAGAGAUUGAACAAAGAACAAAUUAAUAGAUGGAAAUUUAUAUAAAAGGUAAAACAGUUUUAAACCUUACGUAGUGUUGAGGAUCUUUUUGAACGUGGUGUCGAUAAUCUGAGAAAAAAAUGGGAAUUUUGUUAUUAGGAAUUUAGAAAAACGGGAAUCGAAAUACUUUUGUAUUUUAUUUAGUUUUUUUUUGUUUUAAACAUAUUUCAUGUGUCAAAAUUUGAUUGGUAAAGUGACUUGUGCUUUAGUAUAUAAGGGAUAAAAUAUUUGCACAUAGUAUAAAAAAAGAAGAUGAAAUUCGAUAAGAAAGUAUUGUUUAUUUCUUACAACAAAAAAAUGUUUGUUUAGGGUUUUGGUUUUUAUGAUUUAAUUAUCAUGUUUUAAGUCGUAAAAUAAGUAACGAGUAAUAUCAAAGUAAGUCGUGAUUUUUUUCGUGAUACUUGUUACUCGUCUUAUACUUGCAAGUAGCAAAACUCAAUGACUUAAUACUUGACUUGGCAACAACGAGUACUUGGAAAAACGAAACGAGUACGAGUCAAGUAACGGGUAUAAGACAAGUGACGAGUAUUUGUGCCCAACCCUAAUUCUAAUUGGUAAAAAAGCAAUUCCACAAUUCCGUUACUAAUUUUUUUUAAUCCUCAAUUUAAGGAUUUCUUAGUAUUAGGCCGAGAUAUUAAGGCCCAAUAUAGAAGGGCCCAAUAAAGCUUGGUAUAUUACGUUGUUGUCGCAGGAAAUUUCUCACUAUAUAAAGACUCUUUGUACACUAGGGUUUUUCUUUCUUAAAGCUUUUAGCCGUCACUGCCUCUCCUAUCGUCUCCUACAUCCUUGCCUCAAGCUUUCACAAAACAGCAGCCAUGGCAGAACAGGUUAUUUGAUCUUUACCCCCUCUUCCAUUGCUUCCUGUCUAUUUAGUGAAUCUCAUGCCUUUUCUUUUGCCCAUUUGCAGACUGAGAAGGCUUUUCUCAAGCAACCUAAGGUCUUCCUUAGGUAACAAACGAAUCGAUUUCACUCUGUGUUUAGAAUUUUACUGUAGUGUAUUAAAUGAUUUGUUGUUUCAGCUCGAAGAUAUCUGGAAAGGGAAAGCGACCUGGUAAGGGUGGAAACCGGUUCUCGAAGAACAUCGGUUUGGGCUUCAAGACUCCUCGUGAAGCCAUUCAAGGUUUGUUUCUUAGCAUCUAUGUGGAACUGAUAGAUCAAUGUCCUAAGCUUUAGUGAACAACCGAACCUAAUUAGUUAGAUUCUCUGGUGGUUAAUGUUUUUGUUUUGAACAGGAACUUACAUUGACAGAAAAUGUCCCUUCACCGGAACUGUCUCCAUUAGAGGUCGUAUCUUAGCCGGUACUUGCCACAGCGCCAAGAUGCAGAGGACCAUCAUCGUGAGAAGGAACUACCUCCACUUUGUCAAGAAGUAUCAGAGGUAACAUUCUUGUAUAGUUUCUUGACUUUUGUAUGGAUGUUAAGAAAGUAUUAUCCUUUUCUUUGUCAGGUACGAGAAGAGACACUCGAACAUCCCUGCUCAUGUCUCACCAUGCUUCCGUGUCAAGGAAGGAGACCAUGUCAUCAUCGGCCAAUGCAGGUUUGGUUCUGGACCAACAACAAUGUUGAUUCUGAUUUGUUAUAUGUUCGUGUGCGAAGUUUUGAUUUGGUAUUUUAUUAUUGGUGACUUUAGGCCUUUGUCCAAGACUGUGAGGUUCAAUGUGUUGAAGGUGAUACCAGCUGGUGCUUCUGCUUUCGCAAAGAAGGCUUUCACUGGAAUGUAACAAGGGGGCUUUUCAUGUUAGUUUAUGUUUUUGGAUGCUAUUCCUCUUUUAUCUAUGGAGAAUUUGACAUUUGAAUUUUCAGAUAUUAAUGUUUUGAUGCUACUCGAUUUUGUUUACUUUGCUAUACCAUUUUCAACCAAACUUGAGAUCUCGUUUUGAAUAUGUAUUUAUUUUUCUUUAUCAGAUCCAAAUACCGGUUAAACUGAUUGGUCCAUCCAAAUACCGGUUUGAUUCCAAAGAUGUUGCGACUUUUAGGAUAAAAUAAUAUCUUUAUUGAAGUCAUAUUCAUAUAUAUACACAUCAAAUUAGAACGUAAAUAGAGUAUUAAAUGUUUUUGACGUAUUAAAAAAUUCAACUUCAUAAUGAAGUGAUGAAGUCUAAUUUAAAGUAUCUACUCUUUAUACAAUGUCUCAAUUUAAUCUCUCUUGUUUACUAACUAGAUACAUUCCUGAAUCUCUAAUAGUAUAUUUAGUUAUAUCAUAUCAUAUACAUAUAUAGUCUGACAUUUUAUUACGAAAGAACCUUUAAAGCUUUGAGAUAAUUGGCAUCUAUAGGCAAAGCAUAUCCCUUAAUUGCCCAUCUACCAUCGCCUAAGUCUUCAUUGUUUUCGUGACUAAAAUGCUCCUACUCUCUAUUCCUCUUUAUUCUUGGAAAGAUGUUAUGGCGUCUGUUGCAUAUGUCAGUUUAGUGGACGUGAAUUCUCUAUCAACUGAAUGUGGACGUGAAUUCUCUAUCAACUGAAUUGCAUAUUGAUAACGUAACCGGCGUUUUGGUCACGCCUAUUGGACAAGACGUAAUUAUACCUUCCUUGUUCAUCUUGUUUUGUUUUUUGUUCUCAAAAACAAGCGUCGAUUCACUGUACUGUCGUCAUUACUAGAUUGAGACUCUUCUAAACUCUAUCAAACUACAUCUUUAGAUAUUGCAAAUCGCAUCCAUAAUUUUCUUUGAUUUCCUUUCAUACUCAAUUUCUUCGUGUUCCAUACUGAAAAUAAUGGACUAUCCCGUUCUUCCACCACGCAUGUUCGCCGCCGGAAAAGAACCCAUUAGAGAGCGUGUCAAUUCCUACCACAAGAUAAAGCAGACUGAAUCGAUUCUCGAUGUUCUUGAUUUUUAGGAAACAAAGUUUUUUCGGAAGUCAAUAUUUGGAAAGAUUAUUGCUCUCGAGGAGAACACCCUUUUCUCUGGUGCAUUUGGGCAAUUCAUAAUAGUCCGUAUGCUUAAAGUUAACAAAAAAUACGAGGUAUGGUUUAUGUUUGCCGGUCGUCCUAUAUGAUUCUCUCUAAGAGAGUUUGCUAUAGUUAUUGGUCUCAAUUGCGGUACGCUUCCCACGGUUUCAAGGAAGAAGAGAAAGAACCCACUUAAUGUGAAACUAUAUUGGAAUGAGCUUUUCGGGUCCUUGAAAUCUGUUUCAAUUGAGUUGGCCGUCGAUUUGCUCAAGAUACACAAGGUCAAAGAUCACGACACCAGACUCAAGAUUGCUUGUCUUGCAAUAACCUCGUCUAUUUUGCUUUCGUCCUCUCAUACACCUCGUAUAAUCCCUGACUACGUUGAGCUUAAAGGGAUUUUGAUGAAUUCCUAGCGUAUCCUUGGAAUUAAACGCCCUCAGAUGCUCCUGCCCGAAAAAAAGAGAGCUGAAAUACUCCUGCCCGAAACUGCCCGGAUUUAGAAUUAAAUAUAUCUUUAUUUAAAUCAGAAAAAUAUUAAAAGACUAUGGACCCAACAGAAACUUGCAUGCAUAGUUACAAUCUAACCAGAGUCAUUUCGCGGAUUAUCCAGACCCGAUACAUAAAAUUCGGAUCUGUUUCUCCAUAACUUUCGAAACCUUUGUAAGACUUGGUGUAAUCAUAAACCUUGGUGUAACUGUGCAGAAUAAUAAAAAUUCAACUAAUAAAUUGAAGUUAUCCUAAAUUGAACUAAGUCGUACUUUUAGAUUCCACAAUUGUUGUUAUUGAUAUAUUCAUUGAAGUUCAAAUAAAAAAGAUUAGUUUAUAUAUAUAACUAGAGAAAGUAUAUUAUGUUUAUAGCUAUAACUAGAGAAAUAACAGAGCAUAUUGUAAAGAGUAAUUUACAUAACAACUUAGUAAAAGUAGAUAAAACUUCUAUGUGAUAAACACACAACUAAUCUUCAAUGGGCCAGGCACGAGCAGUCAAGUAUAUGUCAUUGCAGAAGUCCCAAGCUGCACAAUUCCAGAAACAACGAUCGCAUUUCCAAUGUAAUCUUGAUCCAUUUAGGGAAACUACAAACAUUGGAGGGUCUAGGUUGGAGCACCAGCAAUCAUGUGGCACAUUAGGAUCUAUCCUUUCAGCCCUAGAUAGAAACAUGGGAGGUUUUUCGUAAUUCCAAUAGCCUGUGAGAUCCCAACUAUUGAUGAUUUGAAACAUCUCAUCAUCAUGUUGACGAGUAAAAGCAGGGUAGUUGUGAACAAUUCCUCUACCAUCAACGCUAAAGGCUAAGUUCAGCAUAGCAUCUACAAAUUGUGCCAACACGCACCCUCUCUCACCAGCACGAUGUAUUUUUUCCCUUCCUUCAUCAAGUAAAUGGAGGAAGAAGUACUCGUUCAUACCUCUCAGGUAGAUGGCCUCUGGAUUACCCAAACGGUUACAUUUAAGCUUGAAAGUUCGAACAGCAUUGACUUCGUCUACCCAGUCAUUCAGGUAAAUGAGAUUGGCCGAUCUGUAGAAGUAAUCAUCUCUUCCAACUUCGUUGAACCCGGGAAAAGCAAUCCUUGCAGAACCAAAGUCUCGGAUACUCUUCGUUGCCACCUUAGAGAGAAUCUUAUGAAGCAUUAUUGGAGGGAGAGAAGCCAAGUUCAAGUUCUCCAUGUCUAAUUCUGAUAAAAGAAAACGGUUAAUGUGUGAGAGAAAUCACAAAUUUGUAGAAGUGAUAAACCCUUAAAAUUUAAUGAACCACUCACCCUAAUUAAAAGAAGUGUGUCCAUUUAAGUGUGAUAUGAUGGACUCCUCGAGAAGACACGACUUCUCUCACACGCCUUUUGAUUAUCUACACUCGCAUCUCUUGGAACUGAACUGUAACUUUGUAUAACUUUAAUUUAUUAAGAUAUAUAACUAUAUAUAAGUAAGUGAAACUAAGUGAUUUUAGAUUGUCUAAAGUUAUGAAACUAAGAAAAAGUUUAGAAUUUAGAUUGCAUAAAUAUUUGAAACUAUGUAAAACAUAACGAAAUUUAGAUAUUUCAUUGUUAUAAUUUGGAAUAUAUUUUGCAAGAGUUGAUCAGUAUCCAAAACUUAUUAUACUUAGUGGAUAUAUUUAAUUAUACUGUAAGGGUGAUUUGAUGUGGAUAUAAUGAAAGCAAGUAGUAGGUAUACGAUAUAUUAAAUGAAAAUGGUAAUAUUAAGAUUUGAGAAAAACUUGUAAUUAUGGGUGAUUCGAUGGACUCCUCUAAAGAACAUGACUUCUCUCACACGCCUUCUGACACUCGCAUCUCUUGGAACUGAACUGUAACUUUGUAUAACUUUAAUUUAUUAAGAUAUAUAACUAUAUAUAAGUAAGUGAAACUAAGUGAUUUUAGAUUGUCUAAAGUUAUGAAACUAAGAAAAAGUUCAGAAUUUAGAUUGCAUAAAUAUUUGAAACUAUGUAAAACGUAACGAAAUUUAGAUAUUUUAUUGUUAUAUUUUGCAAGAGUUGAUCAGUAUCCAAAACGAUUUGAUAUAUUAAAUGAAAAUGGUAAUAUUAAGAUUUGAGAAAAACCUGUAAUUAUGGGUGAUUUGAUGGACUCCUCGAGAAGACACGACUUCUCUCAUGAAAAAGUCUCUUGUAAUAAUCAUUACACUUGCAUUUAAACGCCACAACACUACACCGUCUACUAUCAUCAUCACCUUCUCCAUCAGUUUAGUUGUGUAACAUUUAGUGAAACUACGUGAAACAAACUGAUUUAGUUAUGUAACAUUUAGUGAAACUACGUGAAACAAACUGAUUUAGUUGUGUAACAUUUAGUGAAACUACGUGAUUUAGUGUACGGACUGAUUAGUGGAAAUACGUGAAACAGACUGAUUUAGUUGUGUAACACUUAUGUGGUAGAUAUUGAUGGACUCCUCGAAAGAACACAAUUAAUCCCUUGAAAAAGUCUCUUAUAAUAAUCAUUACAUUUGUGACUUUUCUCCUCUACAGUUGCUUUGAAAAUUGAAACUCCACAGGAAGUUAAAAGAGUUUUGAAGUUAAGAAGUUUAAAUCGAAUAAAUCGUCUCCUCUCUUAUCUCAACUUCUCUGGUCUCUUCUCGAAACUCUCUCUUCUCUCAUCGAAUCUCUCUCUCUCGUCUCUCUACAAACAAGAUGGCAUUCUACAACAAGCUUUCAGAGGUUUCGGCGGUUUCUUAUCCCAGGCUCGUGGCUUGGCGUUUCAGAGUCAAAUUACACAGGAUCUUCUCUUUCCAUUCCUAUGUUACAAACAGUGGAUCUUACUAUACCUAUGUCCUAGCAGAUGAAGAUGUAAGUGUUAUAUCAUCAUCUCUCGAAUUUUUCUUAACAUUUAACCGUGACAAACAAAAAUUUGAUCCUUAUACUUUAUUUAUUUAUGUAGGGGUACAAGAUGGAGAUGACCGUUUAUGGGGAUUAUGAAAAUUUUAAAGGCUUCGAGGAGGAAGAGGAAAAAUGGGUGGAAAUAUUUCGGGUAAAAGUAGAUCGUUCCGGUCCAGGUUUCCAGGCAGUUAACUCUCCGUUCAAACUAAUUGGUACGCGCGACACACAAGUCCGCUUGAUCAACCCGCCUGUUAACGAUCGGGUUUUCAUUGACUUCAAGAACAUCCAUGCAAUCCCGCACAUGUCCAGCAAGGAACGAAACCAUCCCAUAGGUAUGUUUCGUAACAUUUAGUGAAACUACGUGAAACAAACUGAUUUAGUUGAGUAACAUUUAGUGAAACUACGUGAAACAAAUUGACUUAGUUGUGUAACAUUUAGUGAAACUACGUGAAACAAACUGAUUUAGUUGUGUAACAUUUAGUGAAACUACGUGAAAGAAACUGAUUAAGUUGUGUAACAUUUAGUGAAACUACGUGAUUUAGUGUACGAACUGAUUUAGUGAAAAUACGUGAAACAAACUGAUUUAGUUGUGUAACACUUAUGUGGUAGAUACAAUGGGAGUGGUCUUCAACACGGAAGCCCGUUUCGACCUUGCAACACCAAUGAUGGUGUUUUACAUUAGGGACAACAUGUAAGUAGGAAGUAACUUAUGAUCCAAAGAAAAUUUAUCGAUAUUGUAAUUGACACACUUCUUAAUUCUGAAUAGUCACAGCCAGAUAAAAUGUGUGGCAACUGGCGAACAGGCCUAUGCCUUCUGGGAUGGUCUUGAAAAGAUGGGACGUGGACAGGUGAUUGUGGCCCUUAAGAUGUGGAGGAUCAGGAAGCAUUGGAGUAAGUGUAGUUUCUGUGUCUUUUAAAUGUGAUAGUUGAGUAAAACGUUUACUAAAAUCAUUUAUAUUUAUACAGAUUGUUCUGGUCCUGAUGAUCUAUCGCUUGAGACCGAAGGUGAAAUUUCGGACUUCAGGUUCAAUCCGCGUUUGUCCGAGGUUGAGCACUUCAGGCAGUCUCUACUAAACAGCGACCCUUAUGUUAAGAAAUAUGGGGUUGAAAGUCUUGUGUAAAACUUGUUGUUCUAACUGUUAUCUAACUUCUAGUUUCUCUUAAUCAGUUGUUCGACUUAUCGUAUAAAUAUGUCAGAUUUUGUGUUAGUUUCACUUUUUCCAAUGGUAUAAACAACUUAAAACUAAAAGAUUCAAGAAUCGAACUAAAACGACUUCAUUAUGAAAGUUUAGAAUACCGACAAUAACAGAGACACAAUUACUUGUACAUCAUAAUACCGGCUAGAACUACAACGACACUGAUGCCGACAAUAACAGGGACAAAACAUCCUGAUAUCUUAGCCGUUUUUUUCGGACCUUCGCUUCUUAUUGUUGCUUUGAGCAAUUGAACUUCUUCUUCUAGGAUUCGAACAUGGUAGUCCAACUGUUGAAUCUCAUCGGUGAAAGCUUCGUCGACCCAUUUGAAGACGUGGUCGUCGUUCUCCAGCUACAAUAUUAGAUCCCACAACAUUAUGUAAAAAAAAAUUAAACGAGCAGCUUAAGAGAACAUAGAGAGACCGAUAAUACCCUAAGUGAAGCCGCAUGGUGACACCAAUAAUACCGGCGGUGUGGAUUUGGCGUCGAUUUGGAUAUUAACUCGACGAUUCUCGCUCCGCACGAACAUUUAGUAGGUAUUCCCGCAGUUUUUACUCGUCUCCGACCACCGGUAAUAUCUCCGGUCGUGGACGAUGAAGCGGCCGUUAUUGGGUUGGACGACAUUAUCUGACGGAAAAGUUAGUUGAGAGAGAGAGAGAGAGGAGCCAAGCAGAAGAGAGAGGAAGUUGGAGAUAGAUAUGGGGAAAACCUAAAAAAAGGUCUUUUAUACGAUUUUGGGGUUUAGCAAAUUGGGAAGAGAGAAAUUAGAAAUUCAAAAAGUUGGGCGGGAAAAGAAAUAUCAGAGUUUUUCGUGGUCAAAGUUUCACCAAGUACUAAGUUUCACAGAACACAUCAAAGUUGUACUUUUUUUAUUAUUUCCAUUAAUCUUAGUUAUACUCGACUUAAAUUGGUGAUUUUAUGGUUAUACCAAUGCAAUUGUGUUUCCUAUGUUCAUUUCUCAUACGAUCGCAUACACAUAAACUUGAUUUGGUGCCAUAGAGAGUUAUCAAAUCUAACGAGGUUGGUUUUAGUGAUAAAGCUAUGAUAACACAAUAUAUUUCCCAUAUGAUUGCUACCAACCGACGAGAUGGAAUUUUAAUAAUUCCGAUUAAAUAAUAACCAACAUAACAUUAAUAAUAAAUAAUAUAUUAUAGUCUUGCUACUUCCAUGACUUAUAAAAUUAAAAAGUUAAGAAUUUACAAAGCUCACACAUAAUGUAAAUAAAUAAUAAAGAUUCGUUUUUUUUUUGAGGUUUCGUGGUUGGAGUGAUCAACCCUCAAAUCCUCAUUUUGAAGUUUUGCUCCACUUUAUUCAAUAUAUGUACAAUGGUUUUAAGAUUCAAUGGUUUUGUUGAAUAAAAUUCAACACUCUAUUUUAAUAAUUAAUAAUUAUUUUGUUUAUAUAUCCAAAUUAAACAAAAUUAGUCUCCAUUUAUAGAUAAUUUAAAAUAAUAAAAAUUUGUGUAAAAAUAUCAAAAAAUAGCAUAAAAUAAACACAAAAACAUAUAUCGUGAAAACAAUAUAUGCAAAAAACCUUAACAACAACUAAGAAUAUAACAUGUGGUGUGUGUCCCCACCAUAAUCAUUUUUCAACAUGGGUGAAAACUUUCAACACAAAUGAAUCCACCUCAUUUCAACACCCAUAUUCACCACUUCCAUUGUGAUCAUUCAACUAUUGAAUAAAAUAUUCAACACCUCCCCUGCUCAUAGUCUUACUAAGUUUACCUAUCGUAGUUAUACCAGUAAAGAAAACUACUUUCACUUUACUCAUCAACACACAAAUAUAAAUUAUUUUAUUUCGGCUCACAACGAUCCCAUGCGAUAAAAACACCAAAACUGAAAGUGAAAGGCUUACAGCCCGAUCCACAUCAAAACUGAAACGAAAGGAUUACAACCUACUCUUCUUCUGUUUCUUGUGGGGAUGUUCACCGUGUUCCAAACCAGUGCCUACAUUCUCUUCUUCUCCAUAUCCACUCUCACGCUCACAAUAGUUCCUACUACAAGAGCUCUCUCCAACUCUUGACAGUUGCUCGGUUAUUCGAACUAUUUGC